UUGUAACUGGCCCAAGGACUUUGGUAUCAUCCCAGAUAAAUUGUUAUUUCCAAGGUCAAGAACAAUUAGGCUAGAGCAAUUACCUAUGGUAUAAGGAAUGCUUCCAAUCAAAUUAUUCCUUGAAAAAUCAAUGACUUGAAGAGAGGUGAUGUGUCCUAUGGAAUCUGGGAUGGUCCCUGUUAUUUGAUUUUUCGAAAGCAAAAGGUGAUGCAUGUCUAACAUAGAUUCACCUUUGCUCAGUAGGAUAGGGCCAGAAAAUUUAUUGUAGGAGAGAUCUAGUGAAUAGACCCCUUUGAUUGAAAAAGGAAUAGGUCCCUCAAAGAGGUUGUGACUGAAAUCAAUAUAUGCAGAUUGAAAUUUUAAUGAAUUUGGUAGCUGACCUUGUAACUGAUUGUGAGAAAGAUUUAAGUACUGCAGAUUGAAAGAAAUAUUCCAAAACCACUUGGGUAUGGAACCUGAGAUGCUAGCAUUUGACAAAUCCAGCCAGGAGACCUCAUUUUGAGACCUAAGCCAAGUCGGGAAUGAAGGGCCUAAAUUGCAUGAAGCCAUAUAAAGAUCAGUGAGUUGGAAUGGGGGGACCCAGGUGGAACUAACAUUCAAAAUGAGACCAGAAUUUCCGCCCAUGAACAACAUCUUUAGCUUACUCAACUUUGAAAAAUGCUCUUCAGAAAGAAUUCCUGUCAAGGUAUUAAGAGUAUUAAAAUAAUUUCAUUUAUUUAUUUAUUUUAUGAAAAAUAAGAAAUUUCAAGAGAAAUGAAUUUUCAAAAAAUGUAUAAUAAAUCAAAUGAGUGGAAAAAAGAUAAUUUAAAAUAUUUUUUAAAAACAAGUGUUUACAUGGAAUCAAUAUAUACACAAUUACCAGAAGAAAAUUUUAAUGAAUUUGGUAGCUGACCUUGUAACUGAUUGUCAUAAAGAAUUAAGUCCUCCAGAUUGAAAGAAAUAUUCCAAAACCACUUGGGUAUGGAACCUGAGAUGCUAGCAUUUGACAAAUCCAGCCAGGAGACCUCAUUUUGAGACCUAAGCCAAGUCGGGAAUGAAGGGCCUAAAUUGCAUGAAGCCAUAUAAAGAUCAGUGAGUUGGAAUGGGGGGACCCAGGUGGAACUAACAUUCAAAAUGAGACCAGAAUUUCCGCCCAUGAACAACAUCUUUAGCUUACUCAACUUUGAAAAAUGCUCUUCAGAAAGAAUUCCUGUCAAGGUAUUAAGAGUAUUAAAAUAAUUUCAUUUAUUUAUUUAUUUUAUGAAAAAUAAGAAAUUUCAAGAGAAAUGAAUUUUCAAAAAAUGUAUAAUAAAUCAAAUGAGUGGAAAAAAGAUAAUUUAAAAUAUUUUUUAAAAACAAGUGUUUACAUGGAAUCAAUAUAUACACGAUUACCAGAAGAAAAUUUUAAUGAAUUUGGUAGCUGACCUUGUAACUGAUUGUCAUAAAGAAUUAAGUCCUCCAGAUUGAAAGAAAUAUUCCAAAACCACUUGGGUAUGGAACCUGAGAUGCUAGCAUUUGACAAAUCCAGCCAGGAGACCUCCUUUUGAGACCUAAGCCAAGUCGGGAAUGAAGGGCCUAAAUUGCAUGAACUCAUACCAAGAUCAGUGAUUUGGAAUUGGGGGACCCAGGUGGAACUAACAUUCAAAACGAGACCUGAAUUUUCAUCCAUCUGUAGAGUCUUCAGUUUACUUAACUUUGAAAAAUGUUCUUCAGAAAGAAUUCCAGUCAAGCGAUUAUAAGAAACAUCCAAGACAACCAAUUCAGAAAGUUGUCCAAAACUAACUGGGAGACUCCCAUUCAGUUCAUUCAUUUUAAGCCGCAUCUCAUUCAGAUCUUUGAAUGUCCCAAAAGAAGUAGGGAUAGGGCCUUGAAGCUUGUUGCCGGAUAGAUCGAGAUAUGUAAGUUUUUCCAGCUGACUCAAUCGUUCUGGCAAUCUGCCCACUAAUUGAUUCCAGGACAAGUCCAAAUACCUCAGUUUUGGUAAAGGACCUUCAAAACUGCAGUUUUUGAUCUCUUUGAGAAAUUCAGGGAAACUUCCUAUCAAGGUAUUGGCACCUAAAUCCAAAUGUUCUAAGUUGCAAAAAUUUCCGAUGGAGGUUGGAAUUGUACCUGCAAUCAUCAUCAAGAGUAUUAAAAUAAUUUGUUUUUAAUAAAUUGUUUUAUGAAAAAUAAGAAAGUUCACGAGAAAGGUAAGAAACUUUGCCUUCUUAAUGCAUUAUCAAAUGAACGAAGAAAAGAUAAUUUAAAAUAUUUUUAGAAACAAGUGUCUGCAUGGAAUAAAUUGAGAAUAUUGUUUUUAGAAAUUAAAGUUUCCAAACAAAAUUUUGUUUCAAAAUAUAAUAUAAUAUUUGUAAAAAUUAUUUUAAAAAUGUUUACAAGAAAACAAUUACAUUAUAAUAUUUGUAAAACUAUAAUAAAAAACUCAAAAAAUAAUUUUAGAAAACUAUUUUAAAAAUUGUUUACAACCAAAACCUAGAUUUUGUAGUGUAAUCUUUCAAAUACAUCAAAAGCCCUAAAAGGUCCCCUUUAUUGGUCAAUUGUGCAAUGAAUUUAUGACAAAUCAUGCAUCAUCAAGAGUUAAAAUAAUUUAAUUUAAAAUAUUUUUCAAAAAAAAAAAAAAAAGAGUUUAUGAGAAACAAAUUUGAUGAGUGGUGAGAAGAUAAUUGAAGUUGCUUUGAUGGUCUAAUGAUAAAAGUAAGAGAUUAUUGGAAAGUCAGAAUAAUUUAAUGCGAAAUAUUUUUUUAAAACAAGUGUUAAACUGUAAAACCACUACAUUAUUUUGAUGUAUCAAAAUCAAUAGGCAAUAAUAAUUUUUCUAAGCCAAAAACGUACCAAGAAAUUUAUUGAUUGCCAAAUUCAAAAAUUCUAUCUUCUUCCAACUUCCGCUUAACAGUUGAGAGCAACUACCUGUGAGAUUUUCAUUUGAAGAUAGAUCCAAGUGCUGCAAGUUAGGUAGUUCCCCAAGGGCAAGUGAAAUCUGCCCAUAUAACUUGUUAGAGCUUACAUCAAUGUAUACAAGGUUGCUAAGGUUUAGAAGCCAUAUUGGGAACUUUGACUGGAAAGAGUUGCCACUGAUGCUUAUGACAGACAAUGAAGUAAAAUUGAUAGAGUUUAGAGAUGAAAUGGAACCGGAGAGCCCACAAUCUUGUAGGUGCAACUCUGUUAAAAAUGAAAGCUUGUUGAAUACUUCCAUCCAGUGAGAUCCUACCAUUGAUAGGUCGACAUAGUUCAAUUUGAGAUGCCUUAAGGAAACAAGAUUAGUCAUCCAUUCAAGGUGCUUAACAAAUAAUUGAGAUUCAUAGGAAGAAAGAUCAAGAAAUUGCAAAUUAGAAAGGUUUCCCAAGGUUGGAGGAAUUGCACCUUUGAAUCCACAAUUUGAUAAGUUUAGAUAUUGUAAAUUUCUCAAAGAUCCGAAGAAUUUAGGAAUUGGGAUAUGCUCAAAUGAGUUGCCACUCAAAUCUAAAGAUCUCAAAGAUUUGAGUUCUAUCAAAGAAGGUCGAAUCUCCCCGCUUAAGUUCAUUGAACUCCAAUUUUCAUAUGCUUCUUCAAGAUAAUAUGGGUUAUGAAGAUCGAUUGAAAUAACAACUCCUGUGUUAUUUUCACAACCAAUUCCCUCCCAUUGACAACAAUUGCCUCCUAUCCAUGAUGAAAGUCGGUUGUUAGAAGAAUCUUUGAGACCAUUUUUGAAGUCAAGAAGAGCUUCUCGAUUAGCUCUUAAGCAAUUUCCCUCAAGGGUUUCACCCUUGCAAGCAAGAUCUCUUGUUAUGAAACAUAGAAUGACCAAAAGGAAACCAAGAAUUGAAAUUUUCUCCAUCUAAGAACACCUAUAAAAACAAGUAAUUAAUAUUAAGUUCCGAUAGAAGAAUCAAAAUAGUGAUGAAAUUUGAUAAGUAAUCAAAACUUCAAGUUAUUGGAUAUUAAAUAACAUAUAUAUUUUAAUCAAUCAUAAUUUUAAUAAGAUUAAAACAUGUCAAGUGGAUGGCAUACUUGAACUUCCAUAUCAAAUAUGGUCUGAUGAUUGUUGUUUAUCAAAACAACAGAAAUCACCCACAAGAGAAGCUUAGAAGCAUUAGGUAGAGGAAAACACUAGAGACAACUUGGCAUUAUUGGUAAAGUAAAACAAGAUUAGUCAUCCAUUCAAGAUCAUUAACAUAUAAAUCAUAAGAUUCAGAAUUAACAAAUAAAUCAAAAGAUUGAUGGCUAGAAAGAUCAAGAAAUUUCAAAUUAGAGAUGUUUCCCAGACCAUGAGGAAUUGCACCAUUGAACCCAUAAUUUGAUAAGUUUAGAUAUCGUAAAUUCUAAAAAAUACAAAGAACUCAGGAAUUGGAAUACGUUAAAAUGAGUUGUCACUCAAAUCUAAAUAUCUCAAGGAUAUGAGUUCUAUCAAUGAAUGACCAAUCUCUCCACACAAGUUCAUAGAGGUCCCAUUCUCAUAUGCUUCCUUUGGAGAAUAUGGCUUAAGAAGAUCGAUUGAAAUAAUAGCUCUUGUUUUAUUUUCAUAAUCAAUUCCUUCCUAUUGACAACAAUCAAGGCCUCUCCAUGAUGAAAGCCAAUUGUUAGAACUUUUGAGACCAUUUUUGAAGCGAGUAAGAGCAUCUCUAUCAGUUUUUAAGCAAUUUCUCAAAUUGGUCUCACCUUUUCAAGCAAGUUCUCUUAUUAUUAAACAUAAAAUGAUCAAAAGGAAACCAAGAAUUAAAAUUUUGUCCAUCUAGGAACACAUGUAGAAACAAGUAAAAUAAAGUUCCAACACAACAAUAAAAAUAGUGACAAAAUUCAAUUAGUGAUGGAAUCAAGGCAUCGGCCAAUUAAUAACAUAUUUAACUUAACCACUCAUUUGUUUAGAAAGAUUAAAAAUUGCUAAGUAAACAACAUACUUGAAUGCAUGUCAAAGUAAAUAUAAUUGAAAUCAUCUCAACAAAUAUCAAAUAUGCUUUGAUGAUUGCUAUUGAUCAAAACAUUCCAACUAUAGAAAUCACCUACAAAAAAAAAAAAAAAAAAAAAAAACCUUGCAGCAUUAGGUAGAGAGAAACACUAUAAAUAACUUGGCAUUAUUAGUGGAGAUCUUACCAAUUAUCUUCCUUUUUUUUUUUCUGGUGUAGUCAUUCCUUUGGAUGUAGAGACAUAUAUAGAAGAUAAUUCAACUAGAUACCAUAUGGAUGAUAGUGAUAGGCUCCUUUCCUUUCUUUUUAGCAAUAUUUUGAAAAAUGGAUCAGACCAACCAAUUGAACCAAUUCAAUUGCUAACCAAUUCACUUUCCAAUUUAGGUGACCUUUUCCAACCAUUUUGGGUUUAAAACGAUGGGAAACCGAUUACCACUACUUGAUUAUGAUCAAAUUGUGCAUAUGAAGUAAAAAGUUGAAUUUGCCAUUAUCUUUCUAAAAUAAAAUUUCCAAGAAAAAAAAAUUUAGGUGAUGUUUAUCUUUUUAACUUAAUAUAAAAUGAAAUUUAAUUUCAAACUUCAACUAUUUGUUUUAAUUUUUUUUAUAUAUUUUUAACUUAUUUAUUAAUAUUUUUAAUUCAAUAGAAAACAACUAAAAUACGUAACUUUUUACGUAAUUUAAAAAGUUAACCAAUUCAUACUUCUAACCCCUCACACCUAACUCACAUUGUGAAAAAAUAAUUAAAUUAAUACUUAAUACUUUUAAUUUGUAUUUAAAAUUAAACUAAAUUAAGUUCUAUUUAUAUUUAAGAAAAAAACACCAUCUUAAUCUAUUAGCUCUUAAUUUUUUUUCUUUUUAAAUGAGAGAGACUUAAUCUAUCAUGUUCACCCAAACUAUAACUUUGCAUAAUGUCAAUGAUAAUAGUAAUAGUAAUAACAAUAAUAAUAAUAAUAAUAACAAAUAUGCACAUGUAGAUGAUAAAGUCAUUAGUUCUAUGAAUUGAGUCAUAGAAAAACCUUCCUCAAAAUAUCACAAUCUUUAUGUUGUCCUAUCAAUAUGUAUAUAAGGGAUACCAAUAUGUUUAUAAGCAAUGUUUCACAAUCUUAUGAAAAAUUAAGGGAAAAAAAUAAAAUAACCAAUAACACAUCAACAAUUUUAGCAUACCAUCCAAAAUAAAUAAAAUCUCUUAAAAAUUUGAAAAAUUCUAUCUUGAGGUUAUCAUUUCUGAUAGAAUGACCAUGCCCAUCAAAGUUGGCUCUGCGUUAAUCCAGUCCAAUCAAUCAAAUCAACUAUUUAAAGUGAUCCAAAGAUUGGGACCACUUUUUAAAGACAUUUUUGUCAUUUCAUGUCUUGGGAAAUUUAAGGACAUUAUUUUCCUCAUUCAUGUAUUCAAGGUUUAUGUCGUGUCUACCAAGGUGGCUAUUUUUCCUUCAAUCAUUUUUAAUACAUUUUCUUUCAUGUCUUGCAACCUUAUCAAGAAAAUUUUGCAUUACCUUGACUUUGACUCCAUGUUUGGGUCAUCCAGAUUAGGGUCCUAUAAUUGUUGUGACUUGUCAAUUGCAUUUUAAAUUUUAUAGAACUUUGGUGAAUAUUUGCAAAUAAUAGAUAUUUUAUAUAUUUUAAUUUUUGUUGAAAAUAAUUUUUCUUUUUUUGGUAAAAAGAAUUUUACACUAGCAAUUCAUUUCCUCACAUGGAAGUGCUAGAGUUUUUUUAAAAUUACCUAAUCCAUUAGGUACUUUUACAAAGUAUACAUGAUUUAGUUGUGCUUCAAUGAAUCAAUUGCUUUAGAUUAAUUAAUUUUCAACCAAUUGAAUUAUACAUUCAGAUAUAAGGUAAUUUGGGUAACUAACAUUUAAUAGCUUAAUAAUUUCUUUAUUUAAAUCUUAUAAAAUUAAAUAUAUAACUUAUCAUAAACAAGUUGGAAGCAAAUAGUCAUUCAAGCCUUCAUUUUUCCUUUUCGAUUUGCUAUAAAGCUGAUUUUUUUUCCUAAGAACAAAAUAUUUGAGAAGAAAAUAAAAAAGUUACAAAUUAAAACCACAAUGAAAAAUAAUAAGAAAAAUAAACAAUAAGAAAACAGAAACAAAAAACACAUAAACGAUUUAUGUAGUUUGCUCUAAAGCCUACAUUCAUAAAUGAAGAUAGAAAGGAACUUCCACUAUUGUUUAAGAAGAUUAUAAUCCUAUAACUCUUAAAUUCUAAAGUCUAAAUUAAUUAUACCAAGAAAAAUGAUUAUUUCUUAUUCGCUAAAAUGUCUUCUCAUAUUUUCUUGGUUGGAAUAUUUAAUAUAAGGAACUAAUUAUCUAAUUAUUAGAGAUACAUAAUAUUUGUAGAGAUAUUACUACUAGUUUUCCUUAUUCUAUUAAAGAAAUUUAAUUACAAUUAUGAAAUAUUUUAUAUAAGGUGGUGAGGACUAUGCGUGGUAGAUAGAGAUAUAAGGAAGAGUGAGAGACACUUGGUGGAGUAAGAGGGCUCACUAAGGUGUAGAUAUGAGAAUGAGUGAAAGAUAUCUGGUGGAACAAAAAGACUCAUGAUUCAAGGUGGGGAUAAAGCGUAGGGAAACUUGAGAUGUUUUGACACCCAAUAGUUGUAUCUAUUUCUAUUCUCUAUACUAUUUUAUAUGGCAUUGUAGAAUGUUAUUUCUCAUCCAUUAAGGUAGGCAUGGUUGGUUGAAUCUUUGUGCGUGGUUUGCUUUAUUUUUGUAUUUUUUUUCUUUAACAUAUCUAUGUUGAAGUUGUUGUUGGCCCAAUAAGUGGUAUCAAAGCUUCUGAUGAUAUAACAAGUAUUUGUUGGGAAACUUGAAACAUCUAAAUACAAUAAGAAAAAAAAUGAAAUAAAAAAAGACAAAAUAUUUACCUAGUUCGAGAUAAUCGCCCACAUCUAUGGGAAAGAAAGAUCAAAUUUAUUAAUAAACUUUACACACUUCAAACUAUCUUGACCAUUCUUUACCCAAAACUCAUACACCUUUUGACUAUCUCUAUUCAUUCUUUGCUCAUUUUUUCUUUCUAUCCUAAAAUCAUAUAUAAAACCACAUAUCUAUAAAGUUCUAAUCUUGAUCAAACUUAAAAGGGUCAUUUACCCAAAUAAAAACUAUACAAAUAUUAAAUUUUCACAAAAUAAAUAUAAUAAAUAAAUUGAAUUUAUAUAUAUAUAUAUAUAUAUUAAAAGAAUUUUUUUCUUCCAAAUGCAAGAGACCAAGUACCCCGACAAGGACUUAGAUAUCAUUUUUAAGGUAGAAAAUUUAUGACAAUGAAAAAUUUUCCACAUUUCCUUUCAUUGAAUUCCACAUCCAUACCAAAUGAAGAUUGUGACCACUUUUUAAAGAUGUUUUUGUCAUGCCAUGUCAAGGGAAAUUUAAGUAUAUUAUUUUCUUCAUUCAUUUAUUCAAGGUUUAUGCCAUGUCUACCAAGGUGGCCAUUUUUUCUUCAAUUUUUUGUCAUGUCUUGCUACCUUAUCAAGAAAAUUUUGUAUUAGCUUGACUUUGACAGCAUGUUUAGGUCAUCUGGAUUGGGGCCCUGUAAUUGCCCGUGACUAAAAAAAAUACAAAAAUAAAGACUUAGAAACUAAAAUUCUAGUUCAUGUCAACAAAUUUUAACAAAGCACUCCAUAAUAUAUGAAAUUUCUUAAAAAUUGUAUUUUUGUAAUAAUAGUUCUAAGCUUUUUUCUCCCUUUAUUUUAAGAAACAUUUGAAAGUGUCAACUGCAUUUUAAAUUUUGUAGGACUUUGAUGAUUAUUUGUAAAUAAUAGAUAUUUUAUAUAUUUUAAUUUUUAUUGAAAAUAAAUUUAUUUUGGUAAAAGGAAUUUUAUAGUAGAAAUUCAUUUCCUCACAUGGAAGUGCUAUAAAAAAAAAAUUUAAAUUACCUAAUCCAUUUGGUGCUUUUACAAAGUAUAUAUGAUUUAGUUGUGCUUCAAUGUAUCAUUUGCUUUGGAUUAAUUAAUUUCCAACCAAAUGAAUUAUACAUUUAGAUAUAAGGUAAUUUGGGUAACUAACAUUUAAUAGCUUCAUAAUUUCUUUAUUUAAAUCUUAUAAAAUUAAAUAUAUAACUUAUUAUAAACAAGUUGGAAGCAAAUAGUCAUUCAAGCCUUCAUUUUUCCUUUUCGAAUUGCUAUAAAGUUGAUUUUCUUUCCUAAAGAAUAAAAUAUUUGAGAAAAUUUUGAAAAGAAAUAAAAGAAGUUAUAAAGUAAAAUCACAAUGAAAAAUAAUAAGAAAAAUAAAAAGAUGAAAAAACAAAAACAAAAAACAUGUAAAACACGAUUUAUGUAGUUUGCCCUAAACCCUACAUUCACAAACAAAGAUAAAAAGGAACUUUUACUGUUGUUUAAAAAGAUUAUAAUCCUAUAACCCUUAAAUCCUAAAGUCUAAAUUAAUUAUACCUAGAAAAAUGAUUCUUUCUUAUUCGCUAUAAUGUCUUCUCAUAUUUUCUUGAUUACAUUGGAAUAUUUAAUAGAAGGAACUAAUUAUUUAAUUGUUAGAGAUACCUAUGAUAUUUUCUUUAUAAUUUGCAUGAGAAAAACCUUAUAAUAUCUUAUAAAGUUAAAAAUCCACAAUAAUAAAUCAUAUUAAAAGUCUCACUACAUCUCUGACAAUGAUUUUUGAAUUAUUUUAAAAUAUAUACAAAAUCGAACUCCCAAUAACAUCAAUAGGAUUGUAAAUAUUUCUCUUCUAUCAUUUAAAAUAAAAAGGAAAGAAAGACCAAAUUAUUGCUUUGGAAACCCAAUUCUUCUGUAGUUUAGUUUUAUAAAAUCAAUUAGAAAAUAAAAAAAAAUUCUUAGAAUAUUCAUUUUGCAAUCCUUUGUUGUUUUUACAAUCCAAUUUGACAUAUUUUAAAUUGUAGGAAUUCUUUGGAGGAAUUUGAAAAUCAAUUUCUGGUUUAUAGCUUAAAACAUUACUCUAAUCACUUAGAGCAUGUUUGACAAUGAUAUUAGAAGUUUGAAAUUUUCUAUCAUGACAUUAUUAUUAGGAUUAUAUAAAAGAAAGGAAAAUAGUUAUCACCUAAUCCAAUCAUGUCAACUUUAGAUAGUUGGAAGUGAUCCAAAAAUUGUGCAACUAGUUUAUGUCAUGUAAUUUUAUAAUGUUUCUAUCACUAUGACCACUUUUUCUUCACUCAUUGUUAAUAUAUUUUUUCGCUUCUUGGUACCAUAUUAAGGAAAAUUUUCAUUGGAUUGACUUCAACUUUAUGGUUAGAUCAUCAACAUUCAAGCCUUUUCAAUGGCCUCUAACUAAAAAAUAUACAAAUAUAUAAAUUAAAAAUUCAAAGUCCAAAAAAAUGUUGCUAUCUUCACUUAAAACAUUAUUUUUGAAGUCGUGUCCUUUUGUCCUCUUGCACAAAACAAAAAGUACUCCUUACUCCAAUCCAAGGAUGUAUAGAAAAUAAUAAAAUAUGAAUUGACUAACCUAAGUAUGAAGUCAAGAACCAUCUUCUCAUUUAUUAAAGGAACCAUUUUUAAUCAUAUCAACUACUUAAAUAGGGUUAGAGCUUUAACAAUUAACUUUAUUUGAACUUUAUUAUCAAUUGGCCAUAUUCUUUCCAUUAAUUAAUUACCUUCAAAUUAGUUAUGUAUUAAUUAACAAAAUUUUCUAUCUGAAUUUAUAAUUGAAUAAUUACAACUAAGUGAUACAAAAUUCAAAUUAGGUUCUAUUUGGAUUAAAGUAAAAUAAAAAUAAAAAAUCACCAUCUUAAUCUAUUAUCUCUUAAUUUUAAUUUUAAUUUUUUAAAUGAGAGAGACUUAAUCUAUUAUGUUGACUCAAACUUUAACUUUGCAUUAUAUCUUGUUAUCCUAUUAGCAUGACUUUGCUACUACUUGUCCCACACAAGAAAUAAUAUGCACAUAUAGAUGAUAAAAUCAUUAGUUGUAUGAAUUGAGUCAUGGAAAAACCUUCCUCAAAAUAUCACAAUCUUCAUGAUGUCCUAUCAAUAAGUAUACAAGUAAUAUUUCACAAUCUUAUAAAAAUUUAAGGAAAAAUAAAAUAAAAUAAUCAAUAACACAUCAACAAUUUUAGCAUGCCACCUCGAAAUAAAUAAAAUCUCUUGAACAUUUGAAAAUUUCUAUGAUGAGGUUACCAUUUCUGAUAGGACCAUGCCCAUCAAAGCUGGCUCAGCACUAUAAAAUCCAAUCCAAUUAACAAAUCAACUAUUUAAAAUAAUCCAAAGAUUGUGGCCUUUUAAAGACAUUUUUGUCAUGUCAUGUGUAAUCAAGUCAGCUUUGAAUAAGAUGCAAGGGAAAUUUAAAGACAUUAUUUUCCUCAUUCAUUUAAUUAAAGGUUUGUGCCGUGUCUACCAAGGUGGCCAUUUUUUUUCAAUCAUAUUUAAUUUGUCAUUUCUUGUUAUCUUAUCAAGAAAAUUUUGCACUAGCUUGACUUUGACUCUAUGUUUGGGUCAUCUAGAUUAUGGCCUUAUAACUGUCUAUGACUUGUCAAAUAUUACAUUUUAAAUUUUAUUGAACUUUGAUGAAUAUUUGUAAAUAAUAGAUAUUUUAUAUAUUUUGAUUUUCAUUGAAAAUAUAUAUUUUUUUUUUGGUAAAAUAAAUUUUACACUAGCAAUUCAUUUCCUCACAUGGAAGUGUUGGAAAAAAUUUAAAAAUUACCUAAUCCAUUUGGUGCUUUUACAAAGUACACAUGAAUUAGUUGUGCUUCAAUGAAUCAAUUGCUUUAGAUUAAUUAAUUUCCAACCAACUGAAUUAUACAUUUAGAUAUAAGGAAAUUUGGGUAACUAACAUUUAAUAGCUUCAUAAUUUCUUUAUUAUAUAUAUAACUUAUUAUAAACAAGUUGGGAGCAUAUAGUCAUUCAAGUCUUCAUUUUUCCUUUUCGAUUUGCUAUAAAGUUAAUUUUCUUUCGUAAAGAAUAAAACAUUUGAGAAAAUUUUGAGAAGAAAUAAAAGAAGUUAUAAAUUAAAACCACAAAAAAAAAAAAAAAAAAUGAAAACAAAAACAAAAAACACGUAAAACAUGAUUUAUGUAGUUUGCCCUAAAGGCCACAUUCACAAAUAAAAAUAAAAAGGAACUUUCACUAUUGUUUAAGAAGAUUAUAAUCCUACAACUCUUAAAUCCUAAAGUCUAAAUUAGUUAUACCUAAAAAAAAUUAUUCUUUCUUAUUCACUUAAAUUUCUUCUCAUAUUUUCUUGAUUACAUUGGAAUAUUUAAUAUAAGGAACUAAUUAUCUAAUUAUUAAUAGAGAUGCCUAAGAUAGUUUCUUUAUAAUAAUAGAAAGUCUCUAUAGAAUAUAUCAUAAUAAGAAAAUAUCAAACGCAUACAAAUUAAUUCAAAUGUUAAUUUAACAUACUUUCCAACAAUAUAAAUCCAUCUCGACUCAAAUUCCCAAGAUUUAAACAUACUUGAAAGUCAUCUUUCAUGUUUCUUUACUCCACACACUUAAACAAAUUUUAGGUACAAUAAUCUCCAAUUGAGUUUAGACAAUUCUUGAGCUUAAAUAUAGAAAGAAAUUUAGUAAUUACAUCUAUUAGACUCUCUAAUACAAUGAUCUUUUUACUAGUGUCUUUUGUACUAAGUAAAGAAGCAACAAAAUCAUCAAUAGCAUACCUAUGAGAUAGUUUAAUCCACUUUCUUAUUUUGCCCCUAACCAAAGUAUAUUAUUGCUUUUAUGACACAUUUUCUUUAUCAUCAAUAUUUUGCAACUCUUCCUCAUUUAAUUUUAUUGAAAGUUUCUUUUCUAUAGUUGAUGAAGCAUUAAAUUGGAACUCCACCUUUUUUCUCGCCUUAGAAUUGUUUUAUGUAUCAAAUUGCUCUUUUCUAUUACUCAACUUUGGAGGCUCAUCAAAGAUCACAUAUUAGACAAUUAAAGGAUUUUGAACGAGGGUACCACAACCUAUACCCUUUCACACUAUCUACAUACCGUGAAAAUAUGUGCUUCCUUAUCCUUGCAUCUAAUUUAUCUUCAUUGAAAUAAGUAUAAGUAGAACAAUUAAUUUUUUUUUAAUUAUCCUUAGUUGUAAUUUAUCUUCAUUUGAAUGAGCAUAAAAAGAACAACUAUUUUAAAAAAAAAUUAUAUACAUACUUCUUGAGAAAACAAAUGGUAUUUUAUUAAAAUUGAAAUAUGAGGAGUUCUUUUUUUAUAUAAGAAAAAAACAAAUCUUGAACAAUUACAUAAUGGAUUUUUAAUGCAUCGAUUUCCUAAUAUAUAAAUAUAAUACAAUAUUUAACUAGGUUAUUAAUUUGAAAUUUAGUUAUAUUAUAAUAUGAUUUUUUUUUUUUUCAUGUCAUAUUCUGAGCACUACAUAAAAGCUAUGGUCUUUGGGUGUAAGGGCAAAUGUGUAGAAUUAAAUGAUUUUUUCAUGUUUUUUUGAAAAUUAAAUUCAACAUUUAAAUUUGAGAAAUUAUAACUUCAACACUUAUAAUUUAGCAAUAAACUUUUUUAUAUUUAAUUUUUAGUUUUAUUAGCACCAUUUUAAUCUUUGUAUAACACUAAAACCUUUUUUUUUUUUUUUUUAACUUGUGUGCUUAAAAAUGUUUUUAUUAAAUAUAAGAAUAAUUAUAAUGUUUCUAAAAAUUUUAAUUAAAUAAAAAUUUGCUUCCAAUGUUGCAUUUGACAAAAAUCAAGAGUAUCCUUAUUUAUCUGAAAAGCAAAUAAAUCAUAUGGGGAAGUGUGGUAUCCAAGAUUGAAAGUUUGGAUGCUUAUGGUAUUGUAUAAGAUUUAGCUCUAUCGAUCUAUACAUAAUAAAUGCUAGUUACUAAUAGGUAAGAAAAUCACCAAAACCGUGUGUCCAUUUCGUUUUCAAGAAAAAUAAACUAUGUGCAUCAUAGUAAUCAAAGUCUAUGGUUAGGGCUAUCCCAAGUCAAGGUCUUGCUAAAAGGUAAAUUAAUUAUAUAUCAUAGCUCAUAAACUUAAUUUUAUAUAAACUAAAAAGUAAAUUAAUGAUAUAUCAUGGUUCAUAGUGGUUAGAAAAAUUGAUAAAUUUCUUUGAGUUAUUAUAAGUAAAUCUCAUUACUAACAAUUGGAAAGAACUUUGUUUUUUGUUUUUCUAGUUGUUAGUUCACUAGACCUCUUGAGGUCACUACACGAAAAGUACUUAUAUAUAUCAAAAGAUUUUUUUUCUUCAACACCCAAGAGACCAAUGCCACCAACAAGAACUAGAUAUAAUAUCAUUGAAUUUUUAUGAACGAAGCACAACUUGCCUAUGCAAGAAGGUAGAAUAGAAGAAUUUUCCACAUUUCCUUUUAUUGAAAUCCACAUCCAUACCAUGAUAAUUUGUGCCUUCAUCCGAGAAGUUGUAAUAUUAUAAAUAUAAGAAAAUAUUAUUGGUUCUUGCCUAGUAUUCUCUUUUCGCUAUCAGUUGGAAAAGAGACAAUUUUCACAAUAAUGUGUGCCAGGACUUCUACAAUAUCCUUUGCACACUUAUAAAUGUUAAAAAAAAAAAAAAAAAAGUUUCAAAACCCCAAGACUUCAAAAAAAAAAAAUUGUUAAACUAAUUAUGGAACUUAUAACUUUUUAGAUGAGUGUAUUUACUAACUAUGCAAUCUAACAAAAUCUAUAAAAGUUCAUUAAGGAAAAAAAUAUUUAUGAGAUGUUAUAUUUUAUACUACAUAACAUUAUGCUUUGAGGAAAAAUUCUCUAGUUGUAGAACAAUUUCUUCUAAAUUAAAAGAGAAAAAAAUUGUCACUCUCUUGUAUAAUGAUUGAUUUAAGUGGUUAGAAGAAUGAUACUUGGUGAUAAAUAAUAUGAGAAUCAAUUUUUAUAAUAUAAUAAAUAUCUCAUCAAAUCAAAUGGCUAGUCUCAUACUUAUCCAUCAAUAACACACUAAAUAUCCAACCACCCCACCAAUCUCAUUAAAACCCUAUAAUACCCUAUAAAUCAUCUUUAUCAUUCUUGAAAAAAUCCACAAUAAUAAAUCAUAUUAAAAGGCUCACUACAUCCCUAACAAUGAUUUUUGAAAUUAUUUUAAAACAUAUACAAAAUCGGACUUCCAAUAACAUCAAUAGGCUUGUAAAUAUUUCUCUCUCCUACCUUCUUAAAUUUUUCGUCUACGCUUGUCACCAUAUCAAGUCAAAAUCAUGUUGAAGUGUUAGCCAAACAAAAAAAGACUUGAGCCACUAUCUUCACUUAAACGUCAAGUUUUAAUGGAGACAAAUGAAUUAUGGGGCCAUGGAACAGAUUUCUUCAUCUUGAUAAGUUGUAGGUCAUGAACCAAGUUGCUUGAAAAGGACGGUAGAGGACUGAAAUAUUUCCUCACAAGAGCCUUAUAAUAUUAUAUCUUGAUGACUUCCAAUAAGUCAAUACCACUUUCCCCCACAAGAUGUCUUCAAUGGGUCGAAAUUCAAAAUAAAUGAUUCACCUAAUGUGAUGGAAAUAGAAAUAAUUUGCAUGCAUUUCCUUUACUUUAUUUAUUUGGCAUAUCAUAACUCAAACUUUUUUUUUUUUAAUCAACUUACUGUUGCACUAUUCAUUUAGUUUAUCUUAUACAAAUAUAUACACUAAAUAAUAAUAAUUUCAUAAAUAAAAAAUUCACCACCCAAAAAUAUAAAAAAAAAUUAAUGUUUAUUUCUAAUUUUUUUAAAAUUUAUAUUAUCAAAAUUUCUAAGCUUUGGACAAUUUGACUAAAUUACGAAGUCAAAAAUUUAUUGAAAAAAACUAAUUACAAAAAAUAUUAAAAAGAAAUUCCAAGUGACACAAAGACAAAUACAAAAAAAGAAAAAAAAAUGAGGACUUUAACAAAAGAAAGUUUUUAUUACUUAUUAAUGUAAAACUUGAUUAAUAUAUUGUAAAAAUAAAAAGAAAAAUAGUUGUUAAAGUAAAUUUGUAAAAGUAUAUUGAAAAUAAAACAAACUCUCUCUACACUCCUACUUCAUCUAAUUUCUUGAAACCCCUGGUUUCUCUACGAUCUUUGCAAAUAUAAGUUAUUUGCUUAUGUUCUCAAGGGUCAUAUUUGGUUAGAGUUUUUUCUUUUUUCUUUUUUUUUUGGUGGAUAAAAAACACAGGAAAAUGAGAAAGGGAAAACGAGAAAGCAUUAGUUUGUGGGCCUAAUGCUUUCUCCACUGUCCAUGAAUUUAAGGACCAUUAAAGAAUCAAAUUUAUGUAAAUCAUGUGUAAAUGUUGGUUAAAAAAGAUGGCAUUGCCUGAAGGGAUAAACACAAAGAAUGCACAACCAUGUUUUAUCCCCUCUUGUGAGAACCUAAUAGGAAUCAAUCAAAUAGAGCAACAAGAAUUCACCCAAUCAACAAGUAUAUGAACACCAAUAAUUUUAGCGUGGAAAACCUUCUCCAAUAUGAGAAGUAAAAACCACGAGACCUUUAAGCCACUUAAAAACUCCAGUAAUAUAAUUAAUGGGUUGCACAAUUCUCUCUAGAUAAAACUACAGGCAUACAUCAACCAUAUCUCAAGAUCAAUUAAUCUCGGCAAUUUCAAUAACUUUGGAUAAAAAUAAUGGAAAGAUCUCACCAAACACACCACUGUUCUCGGACUAAAAUAUAACUGUUCCAAACUCCAAAUCCAAUCUCCACCGUUCAGAAUGAAGAUCAAUAAGUCAUGAACGUGCUAUCCAAAAAUCGGCUCAAUCGAACCACGGAUUAAUCUUGAUCGGAGCUUAUGAUCAAAACUAUCCGGAUAGAAAAUGCAUCAAAACAGAGGCUUUGUUCUCGGACUGAAAGACGACCGUCCAGAUCUCCAAAUCCGAUCUCCACCGUUCAGAUUGAAGAUCAAUGAGUUAUGAACCUCUCCUCCAAAUUUCAGGUCGAUCGGCCCACAGACGAAGUGGGAUCGUACCUUUGAUGAAAUCUGGGCAAUGAAGAAAAAACUGUGUUUUUCUCUUCAAAAAUGGUGGUUCUCCCCUUCUCUCUCUUUUCUCUCUCUCUUUUUCUUCUACCUCCGGUGGCUGCAAAAAAUUGGAAGAAGAAGAAGAAAAGGGAUUCUUCUUCUACCCCUUUUAUAUAAAGGCUUAAGAGGCCUUAAAUUUUGGGCUCUCAAUUUUGGGCCUUCCACAUGAGGAAAAACCCAACAAAUCUCCCCCUUUCCAAUUAUGUGGAGGGACUCGCUAUUCCGGCGAUUGAAUAGCAAACUUCAAGCUUCUCCCUUGGUAAGGACUUCGUUAACAUAUCUGAGUCAUUGUGAUCUAUAAGUAUCUUCUCAAGUUCAAACAAGUUGUCAUUGAGAGCAUUUCUCAUCCAAUGAUACCUCACAUCAAUGUGCUUCGAUCUUACAUGAAAGGUAAAAUUCUUACUAAGGUGAAUGGCGCUCUGGUUAUCACAGUAUACCACAUAGCGUUGCUACUUAAACCCAAACUCAUGUAUGAAACGUUUCAUCCACAACAACUCUUUACAUGCUUCUACUGCUGCAAUGUACUCUACCUCUAUUGUAGAAAGUGCAACACAUUUCUGUAGUUUUAAUUGCCAAGACACAACACCUCCUGAGAAUGCCAUUAAAUAGCCUAAAGUAGACCUUCUAUUAUAUACAUCCCCUACCAUAUCUGAAUUAGUGUAGCCAACAAGUACUAGUUUCCCACUUCCAAAAGUGAGUUUCAACUUAGAAGUGCCUCGCAAAUAUCUCAUAAUUCACUUGAUUGCCUCCCAAUGUAGUCUUCCUGGAUUAGAUAGAAAGUGGCUAACAACACCAACUGCAUAAGUUAUGUCUGGUCUAGUACAUACCAUGACAUACAUCAAACUUCCUACUGUUGAGGCAUACGGAACUCUUCUCAUGUCUUCCUUAUCCUUAUCUAUAGAAGGGCAAUGUCUACUGCUUAGCUUAAAGUGACUAGCUAGAGGAGAACUAACCACUUUAGCUUUGCUCAUGUUAAAUCUUUCAAGCACCUUUUCAAUAUAUUGCUCCUAUGACAUAUAUAGCUUCUUGGAUGCUCUAUCUCGCUCAAUUCUAAUACCAAGAAUUUUCUUUACUGGCCCCAAAUCCUUCAUGGAAAAGGAUUUACUUAACUGCUUCUUCAGCUUAUCAAUUCUUGAAACAUUUCUGCCAAUAAUCAAGAUAUCAUCAACAUAGAACAACAAUAUAACAAAAUCAUCAUCAGAGAAUUUCUGCAUAAAUACACAAUGGUCAGAAGUAGUUUUUCGGUAGCCUUGCUCUCCCAUAACUGAUUCAAACUUCUUAUACCACUGUCUUGGUGCCUGCUUUAACCCAUAAGGACUUUCUUCAACUUACACACAUAAUCCUCUUUUCCUUUUAUUGUGAAACCCUCUGGCUAUUCCAUAUAAAUUUCUUUGUCUAAAUCACCAUGGAGAAAUACAGUUUUAACAUCCAUCUGCUCAAUCUCCAAAUCAAGACUAGAUGUCAAGCCCAAAAUAACACGAAUAGAUGACAUCUUAACAACAGGAGAAAAAAUCUCAUCAAAAUCAAUACAUUUCUUUUAACUGAACCCUUUAACAACCAAUCUAACUUUGUAACGUGGCUGUAAAGUGUGUUCUUCUUGCUUCACUCUAUAAACCCACCUAUUCUUCAAAGCUCUUUUUCUCUUUGGCAACUCGACAAGUUCAAAAGAAUGAUUCUCAUGCAAUGACUUCAUCUCAUCUUGCAUAGCAUCAACCCACUUCAUCUUAUUUUCAUCUCCCAUGGCUUCCUCAUAACUUUCAGGUUCUCCCCCGUCAGUUAGUAAUACAUAAUCAUCAACAAAAUACCAUGUGGAAGGAUGUAGGUCUCCGUUAGACCUCCUGAGUGGAAUAUCUAGUGGAGCCUUUGCUACUGGUGACUACUCAUGAACAUCAUCAUCCAUCUCAACCUGUGUGGGAGUUUCAACAUCACCAAUGUCAUGUUGGUCAUCAUGUGCUUAAUCUUCAACCUGUGUAGGAAGAUGUGUCAAAGGAACUGGAUCUAAGUCAAUCAGAUUAUCACUAUACUGAAACUAUGUUGCAUCAGUCUUCUCAAUGUGUUUGACAUUCUUCAAAAUCAACACAGUACCAUUACUAGUCUCCAAACACACAUCUCCCAUACCAAUGGCUUUAGCUGAGCCAUCAUUACCCAUCUUAACACUUCCAAAAUCACCGGAUGUGUAGGAUGUAAGGAAAUCUUUCCAAGGUGUAGCAUGGAUUGAGGCACCACUAUCAAUCACCCAACUGGUCUCCUGGCAAACAAAAUUAACAACAUUACUAUCAUAAACAAUAAGGAAAUCUGAAGUGGUAGUGGCAACUUGAUCAUCUUCACCACCAUUGUCAUUAUUCUUGUCUUUCACUUUCCCUUGUUUCAUAUCUAUCUUCAAUUGGCGACAAUACUUCCUUAUAUGCCCUUUCAAAUGGCAAUAAUGACACUCAACAUUGGCAAACUUGUUAGUCUUGAUUUUGCUUCUGUCUCUGUUCUUCGGACCUCUACUCUUACUCAUCCCCCUCUUUUCAGUAAUUAGGACAUAUGACUGUGAAGAAGAACCCUGUAACUUUCUUCUCAUCUCUUCAUUCAAAACACAACUCUUAACCAAAUCCAUAUUCAUCUGGGGCUAAGUUAGACAAAGAAGUUCUAAACAUCUCUCACGAGUCCGGCAAUGUACCAAGAAGUCACAACCCUUGCACCUCUUCCUCAAACUUGAUAUUCAUUCCAGCCAACUGAUUAAUAAUACCUUGGAAUGUAUUCAAGUGAUCUGUCAUAGGAGUUCCAUCUAGAUACUUCAAGCUAAUCAUCUUCUUGAUUAGAAACAAUUUAUUGUUACCAGUCUUUCGAGCAUAUAACUGUUCAAGCUUGUUCCAUAGACUCCGUGCAUGUUUCUCUUCACUAACAUGAUUGAGAACAUUAUCAUCUACCCACUGUCUGAUAUAACCACAAACCUGUCGAUGAAGUAAAUUCCAUUAUGCAUCAGUUUUAUUUUCUGGCUUUUUAGAAGCAAACACAGGCAAAUAAUUAUUAUUCACAUACAAUAGGUCUUCCAUCUUUCCUUUCCAAACAUGAUAAUUGGAGUCAUUCAAAGUAAUCAUUCUACUUGUAUUGUUUUCCAUUGUUCUACACAAGGCACAAAUUAUCUUGAACCAAUGCUCUAAUACUACUUUGAUGGGAUAAACACAAAGAAUGCACAACCAGGUUUUAUCCCCUCUUGUGAGAACCUAAUAGGAAUCAAUCAAAUAGAGUAACAAGAAUUCACCCAAUCAACAAGUAUAUGAACACCAAUAAUUUUAGCAUGGAAAACCUUCUCCAAUAUGAGAAGUAAAAACCACGGGACCCUUAGGCCACUUAUAAACUCCACUAAUAUAAUUAAUGGGUUACACAAUUCUCUCUAGAUAAAACUAGAGACAUACAUCAACCACAUCUCAAGAUCAAUUAAUUUUGGCAAUUUCAACAACUUUGGAUAAAAAUAAUGGAGAGAUCUCACCAAACACACCACUGUUCUCGGAUUGAAAUAUAAUUGUUCAGAACUCCAAAUCCAAUCUCCACCGUUCAUAAUGAAGAUCAAUAACUCACGGACGUUCUCUCCAAAAAUCAGCUCAAUCGAACCACGGAUUAAUCUGGAUCGAAGCUUAUGAUCAAAACUGUCCGGAUAGAAAACGCAUCAAAAAAGAGGCUCUAUUCUCGGACUGAAAAACGACUGUCCAGAUCUCCAAAUCCGAUCUCCACCAUUCAGAUUGAAGAUCAAUGAGUCAUGAACAUCUCCUCCAAAUUUCAGGUCGAUCGGCCCACAAACGAAGUGGAAUCGUACCUUUGAUGAAAUCUGGGCAAUGAAGAAAAAACUGUUUUUAUCUUCAAAAAUGGUGGUUCUCCCCUUCUCUCUCUUUUCUCCUUCUCUCUCUUUUUCUUCUACCUCUGGUGGCUGCAAAAAAUUGGAAGAAGAAGAAGAAAAAAAAGGAUUCUUCUUCUAACCCUUUUAUAUAAAGGCCUAAGAGGCCUUAAAUUUUGGGCUCUCAAUUUUGGGUCUUCCACAUGAGGAAAAACCCAACAUUGCCUACUAUACAAUGACUCCUUUAAACAAGUCUCACAUCAAGCAUCUGCUUGGGGUAUGCUUUUAGAAUAAAUUUAACGUAUUUUUAGUUGUUUUUGUACAAUGUUGUGAGCAUUGAUCAAAAAGAUGAAACGGAAUUUUUACAUUGUAGAAUUUUUACUAAAAUCAAUUAUCAAUUAUUUUUAAGAACUCGUAGAAUUGUUUUCAAAUACGUUGUUAAAUAGACCCUUAUUUUUUAUGAAGUAUAUACCAUGCUACAAAGUUUUGUGGUGUAAGAAAGCAUAAUUGUGCUACAAUGUACAUACCAUUGAACUUCACAAAUGGAUCAACCGCCCUUGAGCCUUGAAAAUAGCUAGAGAAACAUGCCUUGUUUUCUUCUCUUCUCUACCUCUUUUCUCCUUUCUUUUCACUCCGCACGAUCUCUCUCCGAAAUGGUCUUCUGCUGUCUCUAAAUACCAGCCCUAGCUGCUAUCCAAGAAUGGGCUUAAGAAUACCAAAGAACCAGCCCUAUAUGUGGGCUUAAGAGAGUCUUUUCAUUGGCAAGUCCAACAACGAUAAUAAUAUAGGAUUAAAAAAAUUAAUGAUUAACAAAGGUAAUUAUGAUUAACAAAGAAACCAAUUAUUUUUUUACCUUCUAGGCAAAGUCAUACUCAAUAACCAAUAAUGACUUGUCCAUUUUUUAGCACCCUUUCUUCUUCCAUUCUUUCAACAUUUUUAGCCUCCCUGCCUUGCUUCAUUUAACAUCCCCUCAUCUUCGUAUCGAUAUAUUGCUCCUUCUACUACUUCUCUUUCAUCAUAUUCUUGUACUGAUUUAACUUACACUCCUCCCUCUUCAAUUAUCACUUCUUCUAACACAACAUUAGUUUCAUUAUCUAUCAAUCUUUCAACAAUUUCAAGUGUUGGUUCCUUAUAAAUGCGUUGGCAUUUGACUCUAAUUAUUUAUUUUUUAUUUUUAGGAGAGUCAAUAUUUGUAAAGUUUGUGUUUGGACAAGUUAUGGUUUUGAAUUUGACUAGAAUUAGGAAACUAUUAGAAAAAGGUUUAGCCAAUAGAACUUUAUAAAUAUGUGGUUCUACGCGAGAUUUCCACAAAAGAGCAAAAAAAAAAAAAAAAGUGAGCAAAGAGUGGAGAGAGAUGGUGUAUUAGGUUUUGUGUAAAAAGAAGUUAAGAGAGUUUGAGUUUGUAUUUCUAAAAUUUAUUAAUAAAUUUGAUCUCCCUUUCUAGUGGACCUAGGCGAUAAAGUAGAACAGUAUAAGAGAGUGUUGUGGUUUUCUUAACAACUGUAUCAAAGCUUUCAUUUUCUUAAAAAGUGAUAUCAAAGCUCCUAUUUUCCCAACAAGUGAACAUCAAAACUUUUGUUUUCUCAACAAGUAGUAUAUGAUAAACAUCAAGAGUCUUCACCAGAAUAGCAACUGAUUUGUUAGAUAGUUACCCUUAGAUAGGUUGCAACUGAUCUAUUAGAUAGUUACCCUUAGUUAGUUAGGUUGUUGAACCCAUAGUUUGUUAAAUCAUUUUUGAAAUAGCUUGUAUAAAUAGAUUGAUAACAAAAGUUCUUGGAGUGUUGUUCUUCUUUGUUGGCAAUCUUUUAUGGUAUUAAAGCCAAGUUUUUCCCUUUUAUCAUUUCUAGAUUCGCUUUCUUCCUUUUUGUUGGCCUGAUUACAGUCGUUCUCCUCUCAAAGAACAUCCACCGUCACAGGGCUACUUCAACCUAAUUUUCCAAUCCAUAAAACUCUCUGGACAUAACGUCCUCACAAUCUCUUAGAUUGGUUCAACCAUUGCAUAUGUUGAAUCAUUCUCUUCCUAUCAAACUAAAUAGGAGUAGUUACAUUAUCUAGUGGAGAAUAUGAUAUUUGACAAAGGGUUUGAAGAGCAUAUUAAAGGAGUUCCGUCCUCCCAAGACAACCACCAUUAGUGAAACCAAUCUAGACUUCCUUACUUGGCGACAUUUUUAUUGCGUGAUCCUGAGUUGGAUCUACACUUCCCUUACUCCUGAAAUUAUGGGACAAAUAAUUAGAUAUCAUACUUCUCAUGCAACAUGGACUGCUUUAGAGAAGAUCUUCUCCACCUCAUCAAAAACAUAAGCAAUGUAGUUUCGGUUAGAAUUUCAAACAGCUUGGAAAGGCUCCCUCCAUGAUGGAAUACAUACUCAAGUUGAAGAUGCUCAUUGAUUAACCUUGCUACCAUUGGAGAGUCAGUAUAAAAAAGAAACCAAAUCUUGAAACUUCUUGGCGGUCUUGGAGCAGAUUACAACUCCAUAGUUGCAUCCCUUAUAGCUCAUGAAGAUGAUAUACCCCUACAUUAGUUCACAACAUUUUACUCACCUAUGAACAAAGACUCAACUUUUAGAGUUCAGUAAUAGAAAACGAAGUUAUCUUUACUCAUAUAGCCACACAAGGACAAUUUGCUCACCUAAGAAGAUACCAAAACAGGGAAACUAACUCCUACUUCAACAACCAAAUUAACUCCCACCAUCAUCAAGGAAGAGGAUGUUCAGGUGGCCAUGGGCAAGAUCAUUGAACAAAUCUUAAUGGCAACGGUAGUAGACCUCAAUGCCAACUUUGUGGUAAAAUCAUAGGUUUGGUAUAAAUUUUCAAGGACCUAAUCCCUUGCCUACAAAUCCUAUCAAACCUUCAUCAAUCACUCCUAAUAGCAAUGAUAUACAAACGAUGAUGGUCUCUCCUUUAAUCUACAAUGAAUCUUGGUUUCUUGACAAUAUUAGGGCAACACACCAUCUCUCCCUAAGUGAUAAUACUCUCUCAAACGCUCAUCCAUACCACAACAAUUACAAAGUCAUAGUUGGAAAUGGUAAGAAAUUAUCCAUCUCACAUGUUGGUUCUAAGUCAUUUCAAACUUCUCACAAGUCCUUUCAAUUACGAAGCAUUCCUCAUCUUGCUACAAAUCUUAUCAAUGUUCCUAAAUUUUGCACUAACAACAAUUUAUUAUUGGAAUUUCAUCCUACUUUCUUUCUUAUUAAGGACUAGAAUACAAAGAAGAUUCUUCUUCAAGGAAACAUUGAGCAUAGAUUGUAUAAAUUCCCCAAUAACCACAUUGGUACCUCUUCAACAUUCUUUCCUUCUAGGCACUUAGCUCUCAUUAGAUAAUAAAAUAAGAAUGAGCUAAUCAACUGAUGAAUUCAACAACCAUCUUAUUAAAAAAUAUAAAUAAUUACUCAGAUAGUGUGAUGGCCAGAUAGGAUAGUCUGAUGGAAGAUGGUGACAACCUCUCUUUUUUUAACAUAAAGCAUAAUAAUUCCAAGUCCAGGAUACUUUUCUUCUAAUAAAGUGCUUGCUUUAAACUUUCCUUUUGAUAAAGUUUUUGCUUUAAAGUUUAGUUACUUUUAGAGUCAUGAGGUCUUGUCCUCUUAUACAAAAUCUUUUUCUUACCCAAUUGCAAGAAAUGAUAUGAGAUAAUGAAUUAAGAAUGAACUAAUCCAAUUAUGGAUCAACAACCAUUCUAUUUUAUAUAUAUAACCAAUUCUAAUCACCCCAUUACCUAGAUAAUGUGAGAGUUAUAGCAAUUAAGUAAUUCAUUUAAUGUUAAACUUGUAAUCCUUCUAUAAAUUACCUUUAAAUUAGUUAUAUAUUAAUUAACAUAUUUUUCUAUCUUAAUUUAUAAAAAGCUACUCAAUCAAUCUCAUUAACUCCACCCAAAAAAAAUACUACCAUAAGUUCUAAGAGAGUUUGAAUUAAUGAUUAUCAAUUCUUUUAUAUUUCAUCCAAGUUGUUGAGUCUUUACAUCUAGCCCCUACAAGAUGGAAUGAUCUUAGAAUUACUAUUUGAUUAUAAAUUAAAUGUUUUUAAAUUUGAUUCUUAAAAAUUUGCUCUAUUAAGCUAAUAAUUUGAUCAAAACUAUAAGGGAGUUGGGUUAAGACUAUAAUAUUUCACUUAAGUGGUUCCUCCUCUAUACUGAAGUGGAAUAACUUUCUAUAUGUUAGGAGCCAAAAGAAUUUGAUUAAGAUUUAAGAAUCCAAACUUCCAGUUGACGGAGAUUCUAUAGGAGUCCUAUGUUUAGGUCAAUAAGAAAGGGAGAGUUUCAUGAAAGUCUGAUAGGUUGUUGCACCCAAUUUUUGGUAUUGUUUUAGAUUUAUAAGGUUGUUCUAUUGGAUUCAUCAAGCCAUUGUGUGGAUCUACUAACAAAAGGGAGAGCCAAUUGUUCUCUUUAAUUUGUUGGAUAUUUCUAACUUUUUAAUUUUGAGUUCAUAGUUGGUAAAUAAUAGUUGUGCAUUUCCACCAAUAUUUAGAUUUUUUUUUAUUUUGCUUUUUUAACUUUUGAUCAAAGUUAUGUAGUGGUUGUAUUUUUUUGGCAAGAUUUCUUAUGCAAUGAAUAAUCCAACUUCGGUGAUAUUUUAAGUUACCAACCAUGCUAAAAUCUUCAAAGGACUCAAUGUUGAGGUGAUACGGCUAUAAGGGAUUGAGAAUAAAAGUAAAAUACCAUGUGAAAGAGAUGAAUCGAAUCCUAACAAAGUGGGAUUUGAUUUAUAUAAGAAUAAAUUUUGUAUUUCUAUUCUCAUUCCAAAAAAUAAUAUAUUCAACUAUAAAAUGAAUGGAAAAUGAAAUAAUAGGUAAAGGUCGCCUACUUAAAAGAAACAUAAAAAGGAAGUCUGUGUAAGGUAGGGAAUUUUAUGCAACUAUGGUGUAUCUGAUUUCUUUCCUUGAAACAUUUAUUGGAAAUUUCAUGUCAUUUCUAUGAUUUCAUUAAAUGUUUUAAUGUGUCAUUACAUCUCGGUUUAUUGUGUUGAAAUGUUACAUUGAGAUUGGAACGCAUAUUGGUGUGGAGAUUCAUGGUUCUGUGUUAUGGAAAUAGUCUAUGGUGUGGUUGCAUGGCAAGAAGGAUAUGGAAUAAUCACGGAUGAUAUUUAGAGAAUUGGUUGGUAGGAAGUGUCUAUGUGGUGCUACAGGCAUUAUCUUUUGAUAUAUUGUUUAUGUGGGACCGUGGGUCCUUGGGUGAAAGUCCCUAAAGCCCUCGAGGAAGACACUCCGAUGUGGGUGUAUGGGGUUGGUCCUGCCCUUGGGUUUUAGUCCCUAAAGACACAAGAUUGGUCCUGCCCUUGGGUAUGAGUCCCAAAAGACACGGGGUUGGUCUUGCCCUUGGGUAUGAGUCCCAAAAGACACGGGUAUGACUUGCCCUUCAGUGAUGUCCUAGAAUAGUCAUCAUUAUAUUGAUCGAGUAUCUUGUGGAGCAUUGAUAUCUGAUGUGUAGAUUGUUGGGGGUCAGCAGUUUAUCAGUUGUGAAAGGAUGGAUGGGGAAAAGCAAUGAUGAAACUAGCAAACACAUGCAUACAUGUUUGACAUGAUUAUACAUUGUUUAAUGGUUAUAAAAUGUUUAUCAUCCAUGUUUUUAAACAUUUAAUUCAAGGUUUUUAAGGGUAUGCUUUGGAUUGUUAUAAACUUUUCUACUGAGUUGUGAACUUACCCUAUCCCUUCCACCUUUAGAUGUAGGUCAGAAGACCUAUGCAGGAAAUAAUGCUUGAGCAAUGCUUUACUGUGAUUGGAUUAUGUUUGCUCAAUUAAAAGUCUUUUGAGGCUUUGCCUUUGUAUUAAGGACUAAAUAUUUUUGUAGGAAUGAUGUAAUAUAUAUACUUGUCAGGUACACUUGCAGUAAGGGCUACUCGUAGUGAACAAUGAGGUUUUGGUAUAUGUAAAUUAACGUAGUAUAAGUUUCUUUUAAGAAACGAACCAUAUUUUGUUAACUACAAGUUACAAAGUUUAAUAUAGGAUGUACUCUUUAUAACAGGUUUUGCAUAUCCUCUUUUUGCACAAAAUCAAGUAGGAACUCAACAUUUAAUUUUUUUGAGAGCACUUAUAUUGUAUUUGAGUAUCAAUUGUUUGGUUUGAAGAUUAACAAAAAAAAUUUGGGGUGUGACAUUCUCUCUCAUUCUUUUUUAUAGGUAAUAAAAUAAAAGAAUAGUAUUCGUAAUUUUUCUAUUCUCCUUGUUCCAAACAUAAGGAAAUCAUUUUUCAUUGCCAUAAUAGCCUUUAAAGGCAACUGUUGAUUGCCCAAUGAGAAUUAGCAAUACAAGAACAAGUUUAAACUUGAGGACACCUCUAUUCUUCAGACUAUAUGCCAAAGAUGGGUUUAUAUAGAGUUCAAGAACAUAUUUGAAAAUGACUUGUUUGAAACAUUGGAAUAAGAAAUAGGAAUGAGAAAUCAAUUUCAUCCAUAUAUUAUUUAUUACCUUGUUUAAAUUACUUAUUACAAAAGAAAAUGAAAUAAAAAAUUAAUUUCCAUUAAAACUAAAAAUAAUUUCUAUUAGAGUUUUGAUUUCUCUCUUAUAAUGUUUUCAAGAUUAGAUUGAUCAUUGAAUUGGAAAGUACUUAUUGUGUCACGAUUCAAUCAUUGAAUCAAUGGUUCAACCAUGAUUGAACUAUGAGGAAUAUAACUUCAUAAAUAUAUUAAUAAUAUUAAAUUAAAAAUAAUCAUUAAUAUUAAGAAUAUUUAUAAAUAAUUAAAAACUUAUCAAUUAUUUGCUACCAGUUAGGGGGUAGCUUGUUAACAAUGCCUUAUGGCAAUGAGUGAGUUUGAGCCCCCUUGUUAUAUAAGUAGUGUAAGGUAGAGGUGUGACCCAUAUCACCAAGAUUUGGUGGUUGGGUUAAGCAUUGAGCACUAUUUUAACUUGAGUCUUCGGAAGUAAAAGGUCCAACAAGACUUGAGAACAAAAUCUGAGCCAAAUUUAGGGUCUUCAUGUGAAGUCAAUGUAUGAAGAUGGGUUUAGACUAGGCUAAGCUAGAUUCUAAUACUCGAGAACACCUUGAUAUUGUUAACUUGAUCAUAUUUCAUACCGAGGGAGUGCAAUGAGCACAAGAUUUGAGUGUUCAAGUUGAAUGAAUUGGUUUUUUUGAAUUUCAAAUAUUUAAUGGUUCACUUUACAUAAAUUUAGAAUAUGAGAAGUUGAUGGUUUUAAUAUGAAAAAGUACUCUAUGUUUACAAUAUUCCAAGCCUCAAUGUGAAGUAGAUUUAUUAAUUAGCCCAAAUUCUAGAAUUCUAAAAAGACUGGAGAAUUAUUCACUUCCUUGAAUUUUAUAUUUGAAGAUUGCCUUGAAUUACACCAAGUUCUAUUGAAACUAGUGAGAAUAUAAGUCCAAUAUAUCAUUUUUAUUGUUCUCAUUACAUUUUUCUUUAUUGGUGUUUAAUUUUUCUUUUAGAAAAAAUAAAUGUUUUUCUCAUUAACAUAUCAACAAGUUUUAGCAUACUUAUAGACCCCAAAAUUUGUCCCAAUUUUAAUUUUACAUUAAUUUUGAGCCCAAUUUUAAAUCCCGAUUACAUGUGUUAUUUUAGGCUCACUCACCCUUUAAUUUUUAGUUUUCAUUAUUUUAUAAAUUAUUUUUUAUUUUUAUUUAUUCAUUUUAUUAUUAUUAUUAUUAUUAUUAUUAUUAUUAUUAUUAUUAUUAUUAUUAUAUUCUUUUUUUAUUUUUUUAUUCUUUAUUUCAUUAUUUUAUUUUUCCUCUCUCAUCUCUUUUCCUUUUUCUCCUCCACCUACCCUCACCCACCCACUCUUCUCUCUCUCCCCCAAUUCCCUUUCCCCCCCCCCCCCUAUUUUUUUCCCCCCAAGUUUUCCCUCAUUUUCUUCCCCAACAUCUCUCCAUUCCUCUCUCUUCUCUUACUCUUACACUGCGGGCCCCCAUCCUUCUUCCCUUCCCCUUCAUUUUUUCCCUUCCCCAUCUCCCCACUUCUUCUCCAACACGGCGGGCUCCAUUCCCACUUCCAUUUUUUUUCUCUCAUCCUCACAACCCUAUUUUUUUUUUCUUCCUCCCGCAACACCCAUUCUGGACGGCUAGGAACCUCCCACUUCUUCCCCUAUUUUUUUUUCUCAUUUUCUCCUACCCAUUUUUCUUCCAAUAUUUUUUCCACCAUUUUUUUUUCUUUCUUUCUCAUUUUCUCCUACCAAUGCUUCCAAUAUUUUUCCCACCAUUUUUUUCUUUCUCUCUCUUCCUCCAUCAACCCGACUUCCAAAGGCACCAGAAUCCUUCCUUUAUUAUUAUUAUUAUUAUUAUUAUUCACCAAUCUCCCACUACCGCGGGCAAGCCCUUGCUAGUCGCCGCUUUUCUGUUAUUAUUAUUAUUAUUGUUUUAUGUUAAUAGUAAUUGUUGUUUAUAAAAUUUGGAUUGUUGAAUUAAUAUGAAAUUUGAGUUAAUUUGUUGUCGGUAAAUUAAUAUGAAAUUUGGGCUAAUUUAUUGUUGGUGAAUUAAUUUGGAAUUUGUUAAUUUGGGCUAAAUUAAAUGAUAAUUUAUAUGGUUAUACUCAUUUGAAUUAUUUAAUUUGGAUAUGAUGUAAUAUUGUAAUAUAUUUUGGAUGUGAGUUUGCAUAUUAAAUUGGGUUAAUUUUGGUUGUGGAUUUAGGUUUGCAUGUUAAAUUGGGCUUGAAUGAUGAGAUAUUAAAUUUAGGCCUAACGAUAUUUAUUUUAAUUUAUCAUAUUUUAGGUUUGAUUAUUUGAGCUUAUAUUUUGGCUAUUAAUUUGGAAACUUUAGAUUAUGAUCUAUGAUACGUGAGAUAUUUUUGUUGGGGUAUAUUUGCUAAUUUGGGUUUUUUUUUUUUAAUUGGUGAAAUUUAUUGGGCUAAUUUGAAGUUUGAAUUUGGGUUUGAAUAUCUAUUGUGAAUUUUAUACUUUUUUAGAUAUUUAUAUUUGGGCUAUUUUUGUCUUUGUAUGGGCCCAUUAUGCAAUUAUGUUGGUUGGAUACAGAUUUAUGACAUGUGGAGCACAAAAUUUCAUGGAAGAAAGUGAGAAUAAAAAAGUAGUAGGAAGACGUCGAGCUUGUAAGUUUAUUUGGGUACAUAUUUUAUUUUCCACUUUUAUUUGGUUUGAUUUUUAUUAGUUCUUGUAAAUAUUUGUUUAUAUAUAUUUAUUGAGUGUGUACAGAAUUGAACAUCGAAUAAACUAGAAAUUUUGUUUAAAUGAGAUGAAGAAUUCAGUAAAUGUGUUUUGAUAAAACAAUAAUUUUAAAAUAUUUUUUUUAAUAAAAGAAAGUUUUUUUUUAUUAUUUAUAAAAAUUCAGAAAAAUACAUUUAGAAAAAUCCAAAAUAAUUGUUUUUAAUAGAAUUCGAAAAAUUGUUUUUAAUAACAUUGUCCAAAAUUUUCUUUGUUUAAUAAAAAUUGUCCAAAAAUUGUUUUGUAAAUAAAGUUGUCCCAAAAAAUUAAUUUUUAAUAAAAUUGUUUAAAAAUAUUUUUUUUAAAUGAAUUCUUUCUCUUUAAUUAAAAUGGGAUUAAAAGUGUUUUUCAGAAAUAGGGGAUUCAAAUCUUUGUUUUUCUUUUUAAUUAAAAUUUAUUUUGCAAAUAAAGUUACGUCGUUUUAAAUAAUUUGUUAAAAUCAUUUUUUUUAAAUGAAAAUGAAUCAAAAUACUUUUGUAAAUAAAAUUGUAAAAAUUCAUUAUUUUCUGAAAAAAAUCAAGUAAAAUAAUUUUUGUUGCCAAAUUAAAAUUUUGUAAUAUUUUUUUUUUAUACAAUAAGUACAAAUAACUUUUUUCGAAAAUUAAAUACAAAUGAAAUUGAAUCAAAUCAUUAAUUGAAACUUCUUUUUUGUAAAUAAAUAAAUUGAAAUCAUUAAUUCAAAAUCAUUUUUUUAUAAAAUCUUUUGAAAUUUCUUGAAAACCAUUUUUUUAAUACCUUUUUUUUUAGUUCAAUAAAUCAUUUUUGAACAAUUCUCUUGUUAUUCAUUUCAUGUAUUCUUAUAAUUAGAUUUCAUUAUUAUUUUUGUGUACGUUGAUUUUCAUCAUGACUUGUACAUUAAUUAUUUUUCUUGAUAUCCAUAAUUAAUUAAUUAAUUGUCACAAUUCUCUUGAUUUGUUUAGUAAAGACUGUAUACGGGCUUAGAGGGGUGCUACGUCUUACCAUCUUACCUUCCCAAUAAGUAACUUGACCCCUAAACCCGACUUUGGUUUUCCAAAGACCUGUUUUUCUUUCGGGAAUCACACUUAGGGUUUUUCUUUCUUAUUUGUUUUUCCCUUUAAAAAAAAAAUUAAAAUAAGUGGCGACUCCAAGUCUUUUUAAAAAAAAAUUAAAAUUUCAUCAAAUAAAUAAAAAAAACGAGUUUCUCCAUCAAACGAAAAUGUGGGGUCCACAAUACCACUUCAAAAUAUAUGAGAUUUUUUAAAAAUUGUACUUUAUUAGUAAGAACAAUUCUAAAAUUUUUCUUUUCUUUAUUUUAAGAGCGAUGUGAAAGUGACUACCAUUUUAAAGUUUAUAGGAAUUCCACAAAUAUUUAUAAAUAAUUGAUAUUUCAUAUAUUCUUUUUAAAAAGUUUAAUUUUUUUGGUGAAAUGAAUUUUAUAUCGGUAAUUCAUGUAUUAGAGCUUCCCUCUCAUAGAAGUGCUAGAAAAAUUUAUGUUGUGUUUUGUUCUAUGAAAGAAUGAAAGAAAAAAAUGUUAAAGAAAAUAAUUUUCUUAUAUUUGGUUUUAUUAUGAAAAACAUGAAAUAAAAUUAAAUAUAAUUAAUAUUAGUUAGAAACUUAUUCAUUACAAAUUAUUUAUUCUUUCUAUAGAAGAAGUAAAAUAUGUUAAAUAAGUUUGAAGUAGUAUAUAAAAAAUAAUUUAUUGAUCUUAAAUAUUUUUUUAUUUUCUUUCACUUUUUUCCCUCAAUUUUUCUUCUCUAUUUUAUUUUCCUCUCACAUUCUCUUAGAUUUUUCAAACCUAAAAAUCACCUAAUCCAUACAACGUUGUUACAAAAUAUCAAUUAGUUAUGGUGAAAUAAAUCAAUUGCUUCAAAUGAAUUAGUUUCUCCGACCUUUGAAUUGUGAAUUGGGAUAUACGAUAAUUUGGGUAACUAACAUUUAACAAUUUAACAUUUUCUUUAUUUAAGUUAUAACAUUUAACAUUUAACAAAAUUUUUAGUGUAAAAUUUCUUUCAUGAAUAAGGCUUGAUCAUCAAUUUAAAAAAAAGAAUGACAUUAAUUAAAUGAGAAAUUUCUUCACAAAUUGUGUGAUUGAAUGACAAAAUUGAAAGUUUUGUAUACAUCUAUCUCAAUCAUUAAAUACAAUAGCUUGAUAAGGAGGAUUUAUAAUAUUUGGAAUUGCAAUAAACUUAUUUUUAUAAGACAAUAAAAUAUAAAUUGACAAAUUAAUUAUUUUUUUAUAAACACAAUAAAAUAAGUGGUUAGAAUAUCAUUGUCUACACAUAUAUAGAUUAAGAUAAAAAUAUUUAAUAAUUUCAAAUUUAGAUAAUAGAUGUUAAACCACUUUGCAUAUUUAAUAAUUCAAGUAAAAAAGUUACAAGUAUUUUAUUAAAAUAGGUGGCAAUGCAAUUUAAACUAAUUCAACAAAUUCUUUGCAAGUCAAAAAAUUCCUAGUAUUUUAAUAAAGUCAAUGAGAAUAAAAUUUAAGCUAAUAUAUAAGACUUUAAUCAUAGUGUAAUUGUCCUCUUAAAAUAAUAUUAGCAUUAUAAUUUUAAUAAAAUAGAUGGUUAACAACAUACAGCCAUGUUAGGUUCUUCACUUUUUAGUCUCUUGUUCAUGCUAUGAGGUUCCUACCUCUUGGUCUUUGUAAUUUUAAUUUCUUUUCAUUCCUAAACUUCAAAUAUUGAAAUCAAAAUUUGUAUACAAAAUUAAAUGAAAUUUAUUUUUAAAAAUUUUAGAUAACUCUUGUUUUAUUGAUUAAUUAAAAUACCUUAAUAUAGCAUAAUGUGAAUAAAGAAAUGAAUUUACCAUAAAUUAAUAAAAUUGUCAUUGGUAAUUUAAAACCUUAAUAUGAUUAGAAUAGAUUUUGUUUUUAUCUAUUUUUUCUUUUGUUUUUCAAGAAAGUUUGGAUCUAAAUUUUCUCAUCAAUUAACUAAAAAAAUGAAAACAACAAUAUAAAAGUGAAAUCAAUAUAUAAAAUAAAUCCUCAAAUUUCAAAAUCAUAAGACUAAAAUUCUACUAUAUUCAAAUACUAUUUUGACCUUCAAUUUCACUUUUUUAAUAAAAUUUUACCUUAACAGAAAUAGUGAUUUUUUUUUUUUUGUUUUUACCUUAAUAAGAAAGUCAUUUUUUUUUCUCUUUUGUUUUUUCAAUCUUCACCUUUAUCAUAAUACUCAAAUCUAAUUUUAUAUAUAUAUAUAUAUAUAUAUAUAUAUAAAAUUAAACUAAAUUUAUUUUUGAAAAUUUUAGAUCACUCUUGUUUCAAAAACUAGUUAAACUACUUUAAUACUAUAUAACUUCAAUAAAAAAAAUGAAUUUAUCAUACAUUAUCAAAGAUGUCAUUAAAAAAAGACUAAAUAUGACUUAAACAAAUUUAAUUUUUGUCCAUUUUCUUCUUCUAUUUUUUUGCUAAGGUUAGGUUAGUAUUUCUAGCCCGAGACACAUUAGCUGACAAAACCAUGACCUUUCGAAAAUUAGGCUCAGGUCUGAUCCAUUAAAUUGACAAGCCUCCAAGACAGGCCCUGAUUAGCUUACCAACAUGUUUGUGUUGGACUAAGCCCACCUUAAGUGGGAUUAAGGAAAUAAUAAGAAAUGUUUGUUGCUUAACCAAGGAGAGAUGGGUGUUGAUUUAUAUUGGGUUUUCCAUUGUAUUGGAUUAUUGAUCUUUGAAACUUCUUUGAAAGUUUAUUUUUGUAAACUAGUAAUAACUAGUCUUGAUUUUUGUUUUCAUUCAAGUUAGACAAAACUUUUGAAAAAACGCCCUUAUGCACAAAAGUGAGCCUAUAUUGAAUUCGACUCUCAUAACCCAUGCCAACAAGGUAUAUAAGUUCAAAGUGGGGACCACUAAGAGCCAUAUGAGUAUUAGCUCCUUCAGAUUCCAAUUCUAAAGUUGAAUCAACAUUCCAUUGCAGAGAAUCAACUAAACUCCAAUAUCCUAUGUAAGUAACAAUGAGACAUUAUGUGCUUAGGUCCAUGACUUGCUAUCCAUUACGUUUAGUCUCUCCAUGAACUAACGUUCAUAAUCUAACAAAGUGAAAGUUAUCAACCUUUUAAUACUACCUCUACUAUCCUUGAGUUAUAUAUAUCCUCUUAUUGUGUGUUUAACUAACAUGCCUUAACUUUUAAAGAUCUUAUGUCAAGUUCCAGUUAAGGAAUUACCAUGACCAUAGUUUCCAUGAACACACCUCCUUAGAUCACUCAAGGGGACACACUGUCUCGAUUCCAUUAGAUAUCAUGGUGCCUCUAUUGAGAAUACCUAUUGUCAUUGACUUCCAUCAAUAGUGACCCAAUCUAUAAGCUGUCAUUAAUUAGCUUAUGAUCUCACUCGUAGGUCAAAGCCACUGUUAACUUUAACAUAAACUCAAUAUUCUCUCAAAGUUGAAAGACAAUAUAAUAAAACAGCUUGGUAAAGUCAUGACUACUUGAUAACCAUAAGUCAUGACUCAUUGUAGGUCCUAUCUAAUGUGUAACUAUACACACUAGUGCACUCACCAUAUUCCCGAUAGCCAAGAUCAGUCAUCCCUUCAAUUAGGAGGUAAUGCACUAUACCCUCUAAUGGGUAAUCUAGUCCUACGAACCGGUUGUGAAUAAAUAAUCUAUUUACAAAUAACCAAUGACUUGGAUCUUUUGUGCAACUCCUAAUACACUUGUAGACCCUCGUUUUUCAUGUGUGUUUCCACUUGAUGACAAGACUCAUUUUUUAGUGAAAAACUAAUUUUUAUAAAACUGAUUUUUUAUUUUGAAAUUCCAUUUUAUUUAUUUCCAUUGAUUCAUUAUUUUAUGCUAACAUUACUAAUGUGUUUUUAUUUCCAGUCAUUUCAUUAUUUUAGCUAACAUUACUAAUGUAUUUCAUUUCUAGUCAUUUCAUUUCAUCUCCACAUGCAGCUGGUGGAGAUGACAUCCACCAUAUACUCCCGUUGCUGUCGUGUUUCUGAUUGUAUUUGUGCGCGUGAUGCGAAACUAUAUUUGAUGAUCAAGUCAAUGCCAAAGAUGGAAGACUGAUGAUCUCACCGAGAUGGAGAAUCCAGAUGAAGAAGUAAGAGACCACCGAUUACGGCUUCCAAUAUGGUGAUGUUGUGGGUGGAUAAAUGGAGAAGCUGUCUAGGUGUGUUGCGAGACCAAUGGAGAUCAUGAGCAGUGAUCUGGUGUUGUCGAAAAUUUUCACUCCAGAUGAUGAAGAUGAAGAUUUGGUGUCGAUGAAGACGAGCUUUUGAGAUGAAUUGUUGCACGUACCAAAAUGGCGAAAUGCAGGUCUGAAGAUGGUGACUGCAAGAUGAAAUGUGGACCGAAAUCCAAAGUCUAAUUGAAAACCUUCUAGUGUCGGAAAUGGAAAGCUCUAAUGGCGGUGGUGACUUGUAGCACUGCUGAUCUUCAUGGCGGUCACGGCAAACUCAAAUGGUGGACCUAAACCUGCAGCAACGAUGAUAUUCAUGGCGGUGAUGGAGAGCUCUAAUGGCGGUGAUGAAUUUCAUGAAGGCGGUGAUGGACUCUGAUGUCGGUGAUGAAAUUUUUUCUCAGAGAAAAGAUCAUGCUCUCUUCCUCCCCAAGUCGAUCAUGUAAGUGGAGUCUUCCAGAGGACUCCACUUACAUCCAAAUUACAUGCGGUGAUCAUCUACCCACACGCACCUACAUGACCCUCUUAGACUGCAUGAUAGUCGCGUGAUGGAGCACUUCUCUUCCCAAGCUUAAAUAACCUUCUCCAAGUUACAUAAUAGCCAUGUGAUGGUGCUUCUCUCCUAGAACCUAAGUGACCUCAAAAUUCCACAAUAGUCACAUGAUAAUGCCUUUCUUCUAGAAGCCUAUGUCAUGAAACCUUGCCUUUGGACCCAUGCAUGAAUAUUCCUAAUGUUAAUUAUGCACUACCUCAUAUCUAAAAGUGACCUCAUGCAAAAAUAAAAUUAAAACACUCUCAAAAUUACACAACUAAAAAUAAAAAAUCAAAAGUCAUAUAUUUAAGGAUAAAAAUCCAAAUACAUGCACACAAAAAACAAAAAUAAGUUUCAUACAAUUAAAAGAAAAUCCAUAUAUCCCUCGCAUGCAAUCAAAUAUCCAAAAUAGCCUACAUACAAUAAAAAAAAUCAAUAUCAAUCCAAACUCACCUAAUCCUAAAACUAUGCCAUGGUAAAAUAAACACAAACCUAAAUGCACUAGAAAUCAAUCAAAAACAAAGUCCUGAACUGGGAAUCAGGGGUCACUAAAAUCAAGGUUGGGAUCCACCUAAUCCCUCCUAAAUAUCUCUCAUAGAAAAUCCAAAAAUAGUGAUUGAAAUAGUUAUAGUGGACCACCAAUGAGAGCUCAAAAAUAGCUUAAAAAAAGACCAUAAGUGGAUAAUAAGACAAUAGAGAAAAUAGAAAGGCAAUCUUGGAUGGAAUGUGCCAAGAGGAUAAAAUAGAGGGUUUACAACACUCAAAUCACAUACAAUGCAAAAGAUGUAGGCAAGAAUGCUCAUAAAGCAUAAUGCAUGGAAUAAAGAUAGAUAAAAGUGAAACUGGAAUAUCAGUAAAUAAAUAACGAAUUCCAAAUUUAUUACAUCAUGUCAUGCUUUUAAAGACUCUAUAAUAACAGUAGGAACCUAUGUCCCUAUCUUCGCUUGAAACUUUACUUUAGGAAUUUAUUAUCUUGUCAUCUCAUAUAAAAUAUACUCCUUAAUUCAAUACAAGGAAGGAUAUAAUAUGAUAAUAUAUGAAUUAGCUAAUCAUGUUAUGAAGUCAAUAACCAUCUUAUCAUUCAUAAAAGAAUUAUAGUGUUAGAACUUUAGCAAUUACCUAGUUCAUUUGAUGUUACUACAACUUGAUCAUUAAUUAGUAAUCCUUUGUAAAUUAAUUACCUUUCAAUUAUUUAUAUAUUUAUUAACAUAUUUUUUCUCUCAAUCUAUAGAAAGCUACUCAUUCCAUCUCUUUAACUCCACCUAAAUAAUACAUAAUACCUAAAGCUAUAAGAAAGUUCAAUGAAUGAUUAUCAAUUCUUCUAUGUUUCAUCAAAGUUGUUAGAUGAGUUGUAGUGAUCCCUACAAUAUUGAAUGCUUUUAUAAAUACUUGAUUAAAAAUUAAAUAUUUCUAAAUUUGAUCCUUGAAAAUCGGAUCCACUCUAUAAUUUGAUCUUAUUAAUAAUUUUAUCAAAUCAUUUAGGGACUUGGUUUAAAAUUAUAACACUUCACCUUGCACCAAGAUGAGGAAAAUAAACAUCUAUAAAAUUUAAACUCAUGACUUAUCAUCAGUUAAAAUUUUAACAUAUUAUUAAGCUAAUAAUUUGAUUUGGUGAUAUAAAUAGUUGAUUGGUUAAUUAACAAAGAAUAGAAGCAAAUUCAAGUUCAAACUAUGUAUAUCAUAGUGAUCCUUUUUUGUCCUUUUAUUUUGGUCUUUAUUUAGGCAUAUAUCAAGUAAAAAUCAAAUUUACAAUUAUCUAUGUUUCUAAAAUUUUUCUUCUACAGAAAAAGAUUUAAGCUAUAUUUCCUCAAUUAUUUUGAAAGAAAAAGUACUUAAUAUGUAAUAUAUAUAAUGGCCCAAACUCUAACUUUGUGUGAUGUACUCCACUUAUCCCUUGAGCAUGACCUAUGAUGAUAAAUCAUGUGUAGAAGUCAUGUUUGAUAAUAUUAUAAAAAGAAAAAAAAAAUACAUAUGCACAAGUUUUAGCAUACCGCUUCAAAAUAUAUGGGAUUUCUUAAAAAUUGUAUGUUAGUAAAAAUGUUUCUAAGAUUUUUUUUUCAUUGUUUUAAGAAUCGUUUGAAAGUGUCUGUUGCAUUUUAAAGUUUAUAGGAGUUUUAAUGAAUAUUUGUAAAUAAUGUAUACGAACCCGAGCCGACCAAAGAGGAGGCGGAGAGACUUGCUGAAAAUGGUCCAUUUUACUUGAAGCCAAAAAAGAUCGAAAUCAAUGUCAAUCAAUAGAAAUAAAUGCCAAGUAGAAAAAAAUAAGGAAGAAGAAAACGAUCGAAAUUCUGACCAAAGAAUUAGACAUUCGAAGACCUUUGUUACUCAUAUUAGCACCAUAUUUUCUUUUUCUUUUUUUAAAAAAAAAUAAAAUUGGUAGAAAGAAUUUUACACCAUUAUGCUUCUAGCUGGCCUAAUACUCUCCAUAUUCCACUCAAUUUGUAGAAGCCAUAUCAGAAACACAUCACCAUUCACUUGCGAACCUUUCUGCCUUCUUUGAUAUUUUUGUGCAACAAACCCAUCAAAUAAAUCCUCUAAACAAUCACAAAUACACAAUAGAAAAUCCAAGAGAAAGAAAUGAACCAAAUAUGGGAGACAAGCGAAAUGGAAGAUCAUGAGUGUAUUUCGAGUGUUUGAUAUGGGAGAAAAGGUGAUAAAAAGAGAAGGAGCUCGAGUAGUUGAAAGGCAUCUUCACUGCAAUUUAUGUGUGUGUUGUGUCCUAAUCUCCCCCAAAACCAAGACCAAGUUCUUUUGCUCCAUCUGUUCUUGUUCCCUAAUCCUUGCAUUUUUUUAUUUUUAUUUUUUGCAAGCAUUUUCCUCAUUACAACACCAUAAAUAAUAGUAAUGUGAGUAUGGAAACUUAGGAAAUUUGAGGUUGGUGUUUGUUUUAUGUAUUUGGUAAUAAUUUAAGUGGUGUUUUGGAUGUAAUUUGAAUGAAUGUAGAAUCUUGUUGUUUAGGUUAUGAAAACCAAGAGAAUUUGAAGAGGGUGUUUUUGGUUUGCAAUUAUUUACCUAGUGUAGUCAUACACACACAUAUAUAUAUAUGAGAAAAUAUUGUUUUAGAUUUAUUAAAUUUAAAAUGUAGAAAAACUAAGGAAUCAAUAAAUUUGUUAUUCCUAUUGGAAACUCUGCACUAAAGUUAUUGGUGGAUAAAUCAAUACUGACUAUGAGAGAAAUAGACUUGAUAUAUUCUAGAUCUUGGUCUUUCACUUUCAAGAUCAAACUAUAUUCAUAGGAUCGGGCCUUAUCAGGUGUUGGGUAUAGAUAGCGGCUUAUAUUUUGCUUUUAAGUCAUUGGAUCACCCAAAGUGCAUGGACUACUACCACUCAAAUUGUUUUCAACAAGGUAUGAGAUAUGCAAUGAACUUAAAUUUGACAACUCAAAAUGAAGUCCUCCAAAAAAUGCAUUUGAACUCAACUUAAGAAUUCAAACCAAUGUGAAAACAGCUCCAAUCCAUACUGGAAUAUCACCUGAAAGCUUGUUCUUGUUUAAGUGAAGUGAUUGAAGCCAUUCUAACCGACCAAAAGAUUUUGGAAUAGUCCCCAAUAAAUUGUUCUUUCCAAGGAUUAGAAAGUAUAGGUCCGUGCAAUUAUUUAUAGAUGAAGGAAUGCUUCAUGUUAGACUAUUCCUUGAAAAAUCAAGGAUUUGAAGAUGUCGUAUAUGUCCUAUAGACUUUGGGAUGAUUCCUAUCAUUUGAUUGCCUGAAAGAGAAAAUACAAACAAAUUUGGGAUGGAUUCACCUAUUUUGGCUAGGAUAGAACCAGAAAAUUUAUUGUUGGAUGGAUCAAGUGAGUAGCACUGAUGAGGAUGAGUUUUCAAGAUAUAUAUCAAGAAAGGGAAUUAGUAUUAGUUUUAAUUAAAGUAGGAUUAAUAUUACUUGGAAUUAAAUUAGGAUUAAUAUUUGCUGGAAUCAAAUUAGGAUUAGCUAGUUGAGUUAUAAUAUAAUUAGAAUUUGAGUCAUGAUAGGUUAUUAGAGUCUUAGUAGACUUUGGAUGUUAUAAUUAGAAUUAGAAUCAUAAUAGGUUUUUAGAGUCCUAGUAGACUUUGGAUUUCUUAGAGAAGCCUAUAAAUAGGCUAAUCAAUGUAAAUCAAAGGAAUAAAUUGAUGAAUAAUAUUAUACUUUCUUUCAUUGCAAGGUUGCAACCCUCAAUGGUGAGACUCCAUUGAUUUUCUUUUAGGUGAGACUCCUAGAAGGCCUUAGCGAGACUCUAAGGUUUUCCAUCUUUUCUUCAUUGUUUCUUCUUUCUCUCUAUUUCUUAUCUUAUAAUUUUCUCUACCAUAAAAUUUAUUCCUUAUUCCUCUCCUUACACCCUAAAAAUAAAACCCUAACCCACCUACCCUUAGGUGUAGGCAACCAUCCUAGGGUUAUCCUACAUCAAGCACCCAUGGUGUGGUAGAGGAAUUGGACCUUCAAACAGGUUGGAGCUGAAAUCAAUAGAUGCCCAAGGGGCCAUAUUUAACUGAUUUGGUAAUUGACCAUAUAACUGAUUCAAAGGAAGAUUUAAAAACAAUAGUUGAGAAUAAAUAUUCCUAAAACCAAUUGGGUAUCAUCCUUGUUGUAGAAUUAGGAUCUUUUAAGACUAUAUUAACAGUCUCAUAUGCAAUAACCUGAAUGAUUCAAUUUGGGUGGUUUUUCAUGGGCUUCAAAACAAAGAAAGUGGGUCUAAAUUGAUGAACAGAUAUUACCCCAAAAUGAGUUUUAAGCUUUUAGCAGAUGAUAAUGCUAGUUACUUUUAACCUAGAAAGUGACCAAGAACUUUCGGGGUUUUUUUUUCCUCUUUUCAUCACAAUUGUGAAACAUCAAAUUUGUCAUUGUUUUCCUACAAUUUAGAUUAUGGGGGUGGGGAGAUGUAUGCUCCUUUGCCCACGUUAGCAUUGGAGUGAACUAUGAAUUUCAGUUCUUGGAACCUGUCUGGAUAUGUUUCUAGAUGCUAGAAGGUUGGGGUGGGGGAAGAUAGCGGCAAGACCUGGUGUAAUUCCUUAUGGGUAAUUUGGGGAAAAAUGAUAGUAGUAACUAUUUUGCCUAUUUAAUUUUUCAAUCUAAUAUGCCUAAAGAAUUUGCAUAUCAAGUUUAAAAGUUGGCUUAAAUACCCAAGUCAACCUACUAUCGAUUGUGCGAGGAAAAAAGAAGAUGGGCAACAGGUAAGCUGUUGGAUUAAUUGGUAACCAACAUUUGCUAAUUAAGGUCGGAAUUUCUAUCUUAUAUUGGUGAGGUAGAUGACUUUUUUCUUAGUUUAUGGGGCCAAUGGAAGCAACCUACAACUAAGGAAAAUGGUUUCUCUCUACUCCCAGCUUACUAAGUUAAUUUGCUAAUGCAAAAAAGGCUUUCCCUUUCUACCAACAAGUUAGAAGGGUACUUCUUUCACUUAUUGUGCUUCUUGUUUCCAUGUUUUAUCUAUAAGGUGAACAUGAGGUGUCAAUCCCUUCCAAUUUUGUUUUCAUGUAUUAAUAUAGUUGAAGAAUCUAAUUACAGACUGAAAGAAUAUAGUUGGAACCUUGGAGGAGUGGUAGAUGAAGGGAUGGCCAUGCUAGGAGGAAUGAUAGUUGAAACAUCAACUCCAACUAGCUGAUCUGAGUGCAUCAGAAAUGGGAAUGAUAAGGCGGCCUCUCCUCUUUUUGGAAUGGAUACCGGCUCUAAAGACAUGAUCUUAGAAUAGGAAACCUUGUGUGUUUCCUAUAAACCAACUCAGCCUAAUCCACCUACCUAGGUUUCGUCUCCUAGGGCAACAAGCAUAUCCUAAAUGGUCUCAAAAGGCAAUAGAGUCCUGUGGUGCAUUAGUAUGAAAGUAUAGUUGAUUAUCUCGUUUCUUCUUAUGCACUAAACUCUGGAAAAACUGGCAGAUCACUUUCUAGUAAAAAGGAAGCUUUUUCUCCAGGAAUCUGUUGUUCAAUUUUCAAUUUUACAAUACUUCUCAUCUGACUCUCAUUGUAGAAUUAAGGUUUUUUUUAAGACUGCAUUAACAGUCCCUUAUGUAGAAACCUAAAUUAUUUAAUUUGGGUUUGUCUAGGGCAGAUUUUUAUGGAGUUCAAAACCAAGAAAGUGGCUCCAAAUUGAUAACCAAACAUUGCCGAAAAAUGUGUUUUUAACAUAUGAGACUGGUAGUUACUUCAAGUUACUGCUAACCUAGAAAGUGACAAAGAAUGCUACUUUUGGAUUUUAAGGAAAUUUUUUCUUUUAUUUAUUUACUUUUUUUUUUUUGUGCAGGUGCCACAUUUUCUCUUUUGGUUGGAAUUGUGAAGUAUCAAAUUCAUCGAUGUUUCCUACGAUUUAGAUUUUGGGGGUUGGGAGAGGUAUGUUCUUUUGCCCCACUUUGCAUUAAAGUGAGCAAUGAAUUCUAAUUCUUGGGGGCAUGGGUUGUGCAAGGUGGAUGCCCACACCACUUGGCGGGUGCAAAUGGAAGUCCUCUAAUGUGUUUGAUAAAGUGUUUCACCAAAAGAUUUUCUUGCUGAAGAAGGGAAAAUCCCAUUUUACUUUUGUUGUUAAUCAUGUCAAUAUGCCUUGUUUGUCAAUUACCUUGUUGCUUAAACUUUUUAUUUAUAUUUAUAGUUUAAAAUGGUGCAGAAUCCUUUGCUUCUGAGAGGUCUUAGGUUUGAACCUCACCGCUUAUGUAUUCCCUUUGUAUUGAAUCCAUGUAUGAAAGAAUGCCAUGGAGGCUAGUGUUGAGGCAAUUAUCUGUACUAUUAACCAGCUUCAUUUAAUAUACAUUGUUGAUCUAUUAUCUAAUCGCAUAAGUUGUUGGAUUAAGUGGCAAUCAACAUUUACUAAGGUUGGAAUUCCCAUAUUAUCUUGGUGAGAUAGAUCAUGACUUCUACCCUCAAUUUAUGGGGCCGAGGGAAACACCCUACAACUAUGGUAAAUGAUUUCCCCAUUCCCGAAGUUCUAAGUUAAUUUGCUAAUGCUAACGUAGAAAGGCUUCCCCUUCUACCAACAAGGUUAAGAGAGUGCUUCCUUCACUUACCUUGCUUAUUGUUUCCAUGUUUGAACUAUAAAGUUAACAUGGGGUGCUAAUCUCUUCCAAUUUUGUUUCCAUGUAUUAAUAUAGUUGAAUAUAGUUGGAGGAAUGGUAUAUACUCUAGUGGAAGGUGUCUCAAACUCAAUUCCCAUGGAUGGAGUAAGAUUCAGAGACACAACAAAUGGAAUUGGCAAUAAAACAGGUUGUGAAUUUGCUUGAGAAAUAACCAACCUCAUAGCAAAUGAAGGAACAAUUGUGCUAGGAGGAAAUGAGGUUUUGUCUUAGACGUAGUUCUCUACAGGUUGAUGACUUCUUCAGUCCAAUAACGUGUGAUUUUCUCACUUCUGAAACUUCAGUUUUGGUUUUGAUCCAUUUUAGAGAGGAUAUGUGACACAAUCCAAAAUGGGGUUACAUUGUCUCUUGUUUUUCGCUGAUGUUAUCAUUUGUUGCCUUCAUGUGCUAGGAUGACGUUUGUUAAUGAAAAUUUCUAUGACCAAGUUGAAUUUGAUACUUGGGUGGAGCUGGUUUGUUUAAAUAUUCAUGUUUUGGUGAAUAAAAGUUAUUUUAAUUGAGCAAAACUAAUACAUAUAAUGUAGAAGAUGGAUAAAAUUUAAGUUAAAUAUUUAACAAAAAAAAUAUGAUUUUAGGACUUUUCAAUUUAAUAAAAGUUUUGUUGUAGUUAUGGGUUAUGUAUUCAAUUUUGGGUAGAAGGAAAAGACUAACCAAGCAAGUGCUACAUAUAAUCUAAAGCAUUCCCAAACCCUGGAAGCUUAAGGGAUGGAUCAUAUUAAUAGUGUGUGAUAGUGAUUCUUGAAAGUGUUUUUAACGUUUAUAGUACUUGAAAAAUGAAAUCUUAAAGUGUUAGAAAUGUUAAAAACACUUCCUAGAAUAACUAUCAAAUGCACUCUAAAUAAGUUAGCUUAAGAGUGAUGCAAAAAAUGGGUAUGUUGUAUAAGAACACAUAUUUUCUUUUUGUCUUUCACCCUUCAAAAAGUUAUGAUCUACUUGUUUGCUUGGAAAAAAAAAUACUUUUUUUCCCCAAUUAUAAAUAUUAGCCAUUUUUCAUCAAAAGUAACUAGAAUUAUAUAGACCCCAAAAGGGCAAAAAAGGUCAUAGAUUUAGGUUAAUAAAGAAAUAUAGUUGGGACAAACAAUUAAAACAUCUUACAUUGGAUGAUCAUCAUAUCCUACUCAAAUUUUAUAAGGUAGUGGAAACAUAACUAAUAAUUAUAUUUUUCAAAGAGAAUCUAAAAAUUUGAAAUUGGAAAUUUAUUCUAUUCAUUUUUAAUAUUUUUUGGGGUCUACUAUAAAUUUUAUCCACAAAGGGAAAACAUACACUAUUUAUCUUAAUAAAGGCCCCUUUUAUAUCAAGAAAUUUCUCUUUGAAUGAAUUAAAAGAGAAACCUUGUCUUUUAUUACAACUAUAAUGAAAUUCACUUCCAAAGCCUAUAAUUAUACAUAGAGCAUAUAACGAUCUACAAACAAAAUUUAUCACCUUCGCGGGUGAGCUUUGGCACAGGUUGCUCUUCCUCUCAACAACCAUUUGACAAUUUUAUCCACAAAAUCAAAGUAGGCCUCACACCAAGAUUUUCUUGUUGCCAAAACAAAAUAUGGAAUUAAAAUACCCAUUGAAAAUCCCAAGCCAACACUCAAGUAAAACCAUUGAUCAAUGUAGCCACCAUCAUUUUUGUCCUCAAUAGCACUACGCUUUUUAUCUAGAUCUUCAUCUUGGCAUUUUGUGACUAGUGGAGCUCCACAAAGAUUAGGGUUUCCAACAAAGCCUGACUCAGUGAAGGUUGUCAUUUGCCCUAUAAAGGGGAUCUUACCAGAGAAAUUGUUAUUUGAUAGAUUCAAAUAACUUAAGAAUGUCAAUGAAACCAUACUUGAAGGAAGGGUGCCAGAAAGCUUAUUAUUUGACAAAUCAAGAGAUAACAACUGCUUCAACAUUGAAAUGCUUUCAGGAAUUUGGCCAAUGAUGUGAUUCCUCGAUAAGUUCAAAACUAGCAAACCAAACAAUUUUGUUAUUUCUUGGGGAAACUCUCCACUUAAAUUAUUGUCGGAUAGGUCUAUGCUUACAACAAGAAAAAGAGUUCUGGUGUACUCAAGACUUUGGCCUUUCAUAUUCACAACCAAUCGUUCUUCAUACCAAGAGUUGCUCCCAUUGCCAUGCAAAGGAUAUAUAUUCUUAUUAUUCUCUUGAGCCAUGGCUUUAAGCUCAACAAAAGUGAUUGGAAUUUCACCCAUUAGAUUGUUUUGUGCAAGGUCUAAGACACGCAGGGAGCUUAAAUUUGAAAGCUGUGGGGGAAGUCUUCCAAAAAAUACAUUUGACCUCAAGUUGAGUAUUACAAGAUUUAUGAAAGUAGUUCCAAUCCAUGAAGGAACCUUACCCAAUAGUUGGUUAUAACUGAGAUCAAGGAGUUCCAAUCUUGAUAAAUUUUGGAAAGAUGAGGGGAGCCCUCCUGAAAGCUUGUUAUCAUUCAGGUGUAGUGAUUCGAGCCAUUGUAACUGGCCCAAUGACUUUGGUAUCGUCCCAGAUAAAUGGUUAUUUCCAAGGUCUAGAACAAUUAGGCUAGAGCAAUUAUUUAUGGUAUAAGGAAUGCUUCCAGUCAAAUUAUUCCUUGAAAAAUCAAUGACUUGAAGAGAGGUGAUGUGUCCUAUGGAAUCUGGGAUGGUCCCUGUUAGUUGAUUUUUUGAAAGGAAAAGGUAAUUCAAGUCUAACAUAGAUUCACCUAUGCUCAAUGGGAUAGGGCCAGAAAAUUUAUUGUAGGAGAAAUCUAGUAAAUAGACUCCUUUGGUGGAAAAUUUUAAUGAAUUUGGUAGCUGACCUUGUAACUGAUUGUGAGAAAGUUUUAAGUAUGACAGGUUAAAAGAAAUAUUCCAAAACCACUUGGGUAUGAAACCUGAGAUGCUAGCAUUUGACAAAUCCAAAAAAAAGACCUCCUUUUGAGUCUUAAACCAAUUUGGGAAUGAAGGGCCUAAAUUGCAUGAAGCCAUACUCAGAUUAGUGACUUGGAAUGGGGGGACCCAAGUGGAACUAACAUUUAAAACAAGACCUGAAUUUCCAUUUAUCCACAACUCCUUCAACUUACUUAACUUUGAAAAAUGUUCUUCAGAAAUAAUUCCAGUCAUGCGAUUCAAAGAAACAUCCAAUUUAACCAAUUCAGAAAGUUGUCCAAAACUAACCGGGAGACUCCCAUUCAGUUCAUUCGAUCCAAGCCACAUCUCUCUCAGUUUUUUGAAUGUCCCAAAAGAAGCAGGAAUAGGGCCUUGAAGCUUGUUGCCAGAUAAAUCGAGAAAUGUAAGUUUUUCCAAAUGACUCAACCAUUCGGGAAUUGUACCUGCAAUCAUCAUCAAGAGUAUUAAAAUAGUUUCAUUUAUUUAUAUAUUUAUU
rnacentral:lncRNA from 1 species